GGGCCUCGACGUCGUCGACCUCGUGGCGCUCUCAGGAGGGCACACCAUCGGCGACUCGCGGUGCGUGAGCUUCCGGCAGCGGCUGUACGGGCAGAACAACAACGGGCAGGUGGACCGGACGCUGAACCCGGCGUACGCGGCUGAGCUGCGGGGGCGGUGCCCGCGGUCCGGCGGCGACCAGAACCUGUUCGCGCUGGACCAGGCGACGCAGUUCCGGUUCGACAACCUGUACUACCACAACAUCCUGGCCAUGAACGGGCUGCUCAGCUCCGACGAGAUCCUGCUCACGCAGAGCCGCGAGACCAUGGAGCUCGUCCACCGCUACGCCGCCGACCAGGGCCUCUUCUUCGACCACUUCGCCAAGUCCAUGGUCAAGAUGGGCAACAUCUCGCCGCUCACCGGAACCGCCGGCGAGAUCAGGCACAACUGCAGGAGGGUCAACCACUUCUAAUUCUAAGGAGGAUGCAUAUAUAUAUGAUGACCUGCGCCUGCUGCUUGGUUGGCCACAUAUCUGUGGUGCUUUAUGCUUUGAUGAUUUCAUUCUGGGUGCGUGCUUCGUGUUUCAUACUUGGGUUUUAAGUGUGCAGUAGUCGUAAAUGAUUGAAAUUUCUGUUUGAGUUUGGUGCCGUUCAAUCUUAAGUUGAUUUUUCACUCAUGUAAUUUGCAAUUCGUGUACGAAGAAAUGAUCCAAUAAAAUUCAGCGUUUGUGUCAUUGCUAAACUACUCAAAUUAAAUUAAGGAUGACAUGUGCAAUUCUAGGGGUACCAACUACCAAGUCUUUUUUUUUUCUUAGGAAAAUUUUGCUAUACAAGGAUAGGAUGAUCAGCUUGUGUGGUGUUUGGUCAUUUCACAUUGAACUCAUUGAAAUUGGCCAAGUAGGGGUACAACACAACCAUCCGGAGUUGCAGAGAUGAUAACUCCACCAUUUUCUCGAUGGUUGGCGGAGAAGAGGUGAUAGCAAGCUUCAUGCCGCAGUACGGGAGAAGGGAAAUUUGCUGAGUGUCGCGGGCUUUGCCGAGAGCCAAAACUCGGGCACUCGGCAAAGCCUCUCUUUGCCGAGUGUUGCACUCGGCAAAGAUUUGCACUGUGGGCAAAGAGUGGCUUUGCCGAGUGCCAGAAAGAGCCUGGCACUCGGCAAAGAGCUGCUCUCAGCAAAGGUAUUCUUUGCCGAGUGCAACACUCGGCAAAGAAGGGCACCCAGCAAAAUAAAAGUAACCUCAUGGCCGCCCCGCGUACGCUGUUAAAAAAAGUAUUUUACCGAGAGCCGGCAUAAGCACUCAGCGAAGACGCUUGCUUUGCCGAGAGCCGGGAUGUGGCACUUGGCAAAGAGGGCUCUUUGCCGAGUGCCGCUGCCUAGCACUCGGCGAAGAGCCCUCUUUGCUGAGAGCCGCGGCCUAGCACUCGGCGAAGUUUUUUUUGUUUUUUGUUUUUUUUUGCCCAUGUUUUUUGUGAGGCCUUACCACAUUAUUUAAAACUCUAUGUUCAAAUUUGGGACAAUUUUGAGUUUUUUAAAUAUAUUUCUUUAUUUUUUUCCUCCUGUUGAAUUUUUUGGAAUAUUUCAAAUUUGAACUGUAUGUUAUGGAAUAAUCAAAUUUGAUCGUUAUAAAAAUAAUAUUCAUGAUUUUUGGUUUAUGUUGAGGUUGUAUCCAGGACCUCACAUGAAAUGUCAAGCAUCUUCUUGACCUAACAUGACGAGGUAUUUGUGAGGAAAAUGUUAUUAAAUUAUAUAAAAUCCGAACAAAGUCCAAAAAUCACGAAACUUGUUGAUGCGUCAUGUUAUUGCAUAUAGAGGCUAUGAUAAAAAAUUGAGAAGGUUUCGACUAAGUUGUGAUGUCGGAUGUCUAAAACUCAUACAUGAUUACAUGUGAUCACACUCACCAUAUGCAUGGUCAUGUUUAGGUUUUAGGCAUUCGACGUGACAACGUUCUCCAAAUCGUCUCAAAUUUUUAUCAUAGCUUCUACAUAUGAUAACAUGAGACUUUGUCAAGGUAUCACCACAUGGUAAGUUACCUCGCCCAAACGAUGAUGAUUACAACUUGAACCCACCCACGCAUGACGAAGAGUUCUAUCAACAAGACGAGGGGCUACCAGGGAUGUUUGAGAUAGACUUAACCAGUGAGAUUGAAAUGGAAGAGUAGACGAGGAUGUCUGGGUUGUUAACGAGGAAGCUGCAGAUGAGGUGCGUGAUCCGAGGGACUUGAAAAUGCUUGACGGACUAGAACUAGGCAAUGACAGCGAUGAGGAUGAGGCUGAUGACGAUUUGGAGGCUCUUGAUAGUGACAAUGAUACCUAUCGCCUAGAUAAUCCCAAUCAUGAAGAAUAUUAGAAAUACAUGUAAUACUAUGUUAUUUUGUAAUUGCAUUUUAUUUUUUUCAUCCCUUGCUAAGUACUUCUCGUUUAUCUGGACUAAUACUGGUUUAUUCUUUUUAAUUGUAGGUGAUGGGGCCCACUAGGAGGAGUUGUCACUCGACUUACUCGAGACCGAGGGACACGCCACCGGCGGAGGAGACGGAGGCAGAGCUGUCAGAGAGGCAGAGGAGGCCGAGGGGCAAGCCCAGGCGAGAGCCUUCGACUGACCACGAGCGCGGCUCCUCGCGCUUUUGUAGGGACGACAUCGUCCCUCUGCCCACGGUGGGUGAGGAGGCGAUUCCACAGAUGUACGACGUUGUCGUUGCGCACACGUCCGAGGGGGAGGUUCCGCACACGUCCGAGGAGGGGGCAGGGGGGUCGACUUCCUCUGCAGCCUCGAAACCCUACUGGCGAGGUCCCAGCCAGCUCCCAAAGCGACCGAUUCCUGUUGAGCGUCGCCCACUGAUUGCACCCGAGGGGGAUAAGUAAGUAACUUGAUAUAUUCUUCAUUUAAUAUUUGAAAAAUAAUAAUAAGAGCUAAUAAUGACUAGUGUGAACCACUUGUGCAGGAACUGGAUGCUGGUGGAGGAGGGGGUCCCGGCUCGCAAUGUCAAUGGGAUCCUAGGACUUUUGUGUAGGGAACAUUUCCCUGGCCUGGUGUGGCCAUCAGAGGAUGGGGACCUAGAGGUACCCUCAUUCGACAAGUACGCCCUCGUCGCCGAUGAUGUUCACAGAAACUUGGCGGAUCAGGUGAUUAUGGAGUUGUGGGUAAGCCUUUUUCUCGCAAUACGGCCCUCAAUUAUUUGCAUUCAUUGCACAUUCUUGAAAUAAAAUAAUGGAAACCUUGUGUCUUUGUGCAGGACUUCUUCAGAUGCCAGCCAGGACAGGAGGAAAGGGCGUAUCAGGUGGCUUACGCUUCCUGUAAAAGGCGUGUCACAGACUUGUAUUACGAGGCCCGCGUCCAGGCACACGUUGACUACAACGCCAAGUUCUGCAACAGAAGAAUCAACAAAACACAGGCAAGAAGAGAGACAGAGAUACUGACAAGGGAGCAGUACCUAAAGGUAAAUAGAAAACCUCCUAUUGAUUUCUUUUGCAAUUAACUAUGCCUAAUUUGAUCUUCUAAUGUCUUGUAGGUGAUUCCAAGGUGGUGUGCCAUCCACCGCGAUUGCUGGGCUGCUAUAGUGGACAAAUGGUUGGACACGGAAUGGCAGAAGAUGCACCAAGAGAAGAGUGACCACCGUAUGAUGAUGCCAGGUGUACCUCACCAUCAGGGCAGCACCAGCCUCAGUAAAUACGCAAAGACAUAUGUAAGUCUCCACUAGUUCUUUAAUCUAACCACGCUCAAUUCUACCUCUCUUCUAACCACAUGUUGUUUCUCUCACAGUCGGCGACGCACGGUGGCCAACCAAUUGGCCAACUCACGGCGUAUGCUCUUGCCCACAUGGGUCCGACAAAGUCCAACAUCGAGUACAACCCGGAUGCGGGCCCAGAGGCGUACACGAACUCCAGCGUCCACACCCGCCUCACUUCGUACACGGAGGCAGCAAGGUCAGUCCAUGGGCCGGACUACGAUCCUAGGACCGAGGAGCGCCUUGAUCCUGAGCUUGUGAUGAGGGUGGGAGAAGGUAAGAAGCAUGGGCGGUUCUGGAUAGGCGACGGCGUCCUCAACACGACCUCUACUCUUCCUCUCAACCGCCUUCGAGCAGCGAGCACGAGCUCUAGCGUGCCCAUAAGCAAACGACCAACAACUGUUGCGACACUCCAAGUAAGUAUUCUAGUUUCAUUUGUUCUUUGCCUUUUAUAUUCUUUAGCUUUGCAUUAUUCAAACCUUGGGAUCAAAUUGUUGUAGGUUGAGCUACAGCAACUUCAGGCCCAGCAGGAGGCUGAGCUGGCUGUGCGGGUUGCUGAGCGUCAGAGAAUACAAGCUUUGGAGGCCCAGCAAGAAGGUUUGCUCAAGUGGGUGCAACAAAUUGGGCAGCAGCAAGGUUGGCAGAUCCCAGAAAACCUACUCGCACCACCACGACCAACACAUCAUGUAGAUUCUACUACGGUGAGUACGAAUACAAAUAUGUUACUUUCUAUGCUCAUGCUUAGUGUCAAACUUAGUGAUGGCGGAUUUGUUGAUGUGUGGGCCUUCGUGCUGGAUUUGUUCAUAUGUCGGGCUACGUGCUGGAAAUGUGUUUGUCAGCCUUCGUGCCAACGUUUUUGUUGCAGGUUUUGGGAACCUCCCCGUGCAGGGGAGGUGCUGCUGAAAUUUUUAACUUUUGUUUGAACUAUUUACAUUUUUUUCUUCUCACUCACAUGCAAUCUAUUCUCUUUUGUGCAGCAUCAAUCGGCAGCAGCGUCAAACCAUUGCGGAGAGUCGCCGACAUCGCAAGUCGGCCCGUCCCAUCCCUCACAUUCGCCGUGAGCUGCUUGCGGAUUCUUUUUUAUGUAUUGAACUUGUGAACUUGUAGACUAUGAGCUGUGGUUUGUUUGCUGUUGAACUAGUGAACUUGUAGACUAUGAGCUGUGGUUUGUUUGCUGUUGAACUAGUGAACUUGUUGAACUAUUGAACUUGUGAACUUGUGGACUAUGGACUGUGAGCCGCUUGUGAUUAUUUGAUGUUGAAUCGUGGUUUCUGGUAUGUAUAUAUAUGUAUUGUUGUCUAGAUGGGGUAAAACAAAAAAAAAGAAAUUUUCAAAGGUGGCUUUGCCGAGUGCAAUGGUCAUGGCUCUCGGCAAAGAAAACACUGAAAUAAUAUUAAAACAUGUCUUUGCCGAGUGCCAUGACCAUUGCACUCGGCAAAGAAAGUACUGAAAUAAUAUUAAAACAUGUCUUUGCUGAGUGCUGAGAUAGGGCACCCGGCAAAGAAAAUACUGAAAAAUAUUAAAACAAGUCUUUGCCGAGUGUUGCACUCGGCAAAGAGGGUUUUUAAUUUAAAAAAAUAAAAAUCUUUGCCGAGUGUUGCGCUCGGCAAAGAAAACACGGCGUGACCUGCCUGAUAGACGGCGUUAGAUCUUUACCGAGCGUCAUCGUGGUACUCGGUAACUCCUUUGCCGAGAGUCCGCAUUUUGGCACUCGGUAAAGCCGGCUUUACCGUUAACAUCUUCGCCGUAAUUCUUUGCCGAGUGUUGCACUCGGCAAAGGCUUUGCCGAGUGCAAUUUUGCCUUUGCCGAGUGUAACAGACACCCGGCAAAGAAUCAGCCUGCAGUAGUGCCAGUAGACAUAAAGCAAUAGGGUUCGAACCCACUCAACUAUGCAUCAAAUUGGCAAAUAGUACUAUGGGAAAUAACAACUGGAGGUGCUUAGAUUAUAUAUAUCCCACCAUCUCAUUGUCUUUGAUGGGAAGCUGAUGAGUAGCGACAUCCAUGACCUAGGUAGUGAAAGUGAUGGCUUCACUAGAGGUGUCGCAAGGCUCUCAAAGCAGGAGGAUGGGAGAAACGAAAGAGUAGUUAAGGUGGAAUAGUACAAAGCAGAUGGCCAGCAACCGACAUUAUACCAAAAUAACACAAAUGAAACACUCAAUUAGUGACAUAGAAUUCAAAUAUGCUACUAAUAUUUCCUUCAAAAUAUGCUACUAAUAUAAGAUUAGAGAUGCGAGUGAACGGAAUGGGUACAUACCGUCCAUGGCCAGGAAGCAAAAUGCAUCACUAAUGACAAGUUACCAGAGACUCACCCCAACUAGAAGCAUCACUAAUAAUAGGGGCUGUUAUCUAUGAUGUGUUUCACCGAGACAAGUUUUUGAUAUAUAGACACAUCAAAGACUCUUCCCAACUAGAUGAAUCUCUAAUAAUAAGGGCUGAACAAGACAAAUCCAAUGUUGUGAUGUAUUUUAAAUAUCAUUGCCUCAUUUGCUUAUAUAUGUGAACAAGUAAUGUUUGAUUGAGAAGCUGUGGUAAUAUUGAUAGCUUUGACGUGCGCCAUGCAUGGGACCUGUGUGUUGUGAUGUCUGUGUUAUUACAGACAUGUGAUUUAUAACGUCUAUGAUUUAUGCUGACGAGAGACUCAUUUUAAUACAUGUCACUGAUGAAAAAACAUUGCUAAGUGCUUAUUGUGAGAACAUGUUAGAGACACACCUGAAAUAAAAGCAUAAUUGAUAAUGGUAGUAUUUGAGAUGCACAUGAAACAAAAAUAAGAGUAAUCUCUCAAACAUGUCACCGGUAAGAUUCAUAUUUGAGACAUGUCUUUGAAUCAAUAGUCACUGAUAAGAAUCAUAUUUGAGACAUGUCUUUGAAUCAAGAGUCACUAUUAUCUUCACAGUGACACGCUUGUCGAAUACACUCAGCUGAUGUCUUCACAUCAGCCACACAUUUUCUCAAUACACAUCACUGAUGUAUUCACAUUAGAGACAUAUAUAAGUACGUGUUUUUUUCUAGCAUCUCCAAUGUGGAAUUUGACAUAGUGCAAUGUAGGUAACAUAUCCCAUUGGAGAGGGAGUAGAACGACAAUCAUUAUUGUUGAGAAAUUUUGUGACAAUAAAAGACUUUUUUUCUACGGUCUCCCUCCUUGCAUCAUGCAAAUCAAUAUUUUGAUUGCUAUGGUGUUAUAGGAAAAAGCACAUUGAUUUAAUGAUGGUACAUGAUCAAUUCUAGUAAUUUUGAUAUCAACCAAUACCAUGAAAGUUCAGCAAAUAUGACAUUUUUAUUUGGGAAAGCUAAACAUAACUGGAGUGAUUUGGACCAUUAUUCCCUCACUUGAUAUUUUUAGCUAAUCAACAAAUGCCAUGGCGCGCGAUGUCUUCCUCAGUCCCGGUGAGGCUAGUUUUUUGGUGGAGGUGCAUCUAGGCGCUAAGCGAGUUCUGAUGGAUUUAUGGGACUAACAUACGUGAUGAGAUCAUGCAUAUGCAUGUGUUUAGUCCUAGAUUGGUUAGUGACUGGGCUCAAAUGAAGCAAACUACAAUAAAAUAUGAAUUGAGUCCAAGAUUGAAGGAUGAAUUUUAUAAUUGACAAAGGAUAUUGGUAAAUUGCAAUGUGUCUAUGUGGGUUCAGCAAGUAUGGCCAUGAGUUUGCAAUGUGUCUAUACAAGAGUUGAGUUGAUUAGUGUGAGCUAACUAGCUAGGUCGGACUUCUCACCAAACUGGCCAGGCUAUAGUUUUAAAAGACCAGAACAAAAUUCUUCCAAAGAUGGCCAAAUUCACCCAAGCUUCUAAAGAAAAAAGGAUAAGUCACUUACAAGUGUACAAGAAGUAAGGAAAUGAAGUGCCAAACUAGAACAAAAGUCGCAUUUGCUACACUUGUAGAAGAAAGGAACAUUUGAGUAAGGAUAGUCCCAAUGAUAGACUAACAGGCCUGCAUUGAGUAACAAGAUAUAGUUGACUUGGGAUAGACUAACAGGCCUGCACUGGGCCUCCACUAAGUUAGCGGUCCAGGCCAUGCCGCUUGAUGUGCCCAGAGAGCAGCCAAAGCACAGACUGCUGCGAUCUUGAGCCGGGCCAACGGGCUGCGAGCUGCAUGUGCAUCUAUAGGGUUCAGAAUAGAGAUUAGAACAAUAAUUUUUCUCUCUAACCAUUUUGGAGGAAUUUAUGGUUUGGAUGCCCAAGAUAAAAUAUUAUACACAGAGUUUUUUGCACUCUAAAUUAUGUAUGUUGGAGUUGUUCCAAAUUCACUUCAGGAUAUUGGCCGGGCUUCUGACGGAGCGAAGCGGAGGCCCGUCGCCGGAGGGUUUAGGGUUUAGGGUUUAGGACUUAUUGGAUAUGUGGAUUCUGAUUAUGCUGCUGAUUUGGACAGGCGAAGAUCACUUACUGGUUAUGUGUUUACUGUUGGUAGUUGUGCUGUGAGUUGGAGGGCUACUUUACAGUCUGUUGUUGCUUUGUCUACUACUGAGGCAGAAUAUAUGGCUAUUUGUGAAGCGUGCAAAGAGUUGAUUUGGUUAAAAGGUUUGUACGCUGAGCUCAGUGGAGUUGAAUCUUGCAUAAGUUUGCAUUGUGAUAGUCAAAGUGCAAUUUACCUCACUAAAGAUCAGAUGUUCCAUGAGAGAACUAAGCACAUAGAUAUCAAGUAUCAUUUUGUGCGUGAUGUGAUUGAGGAAGGUAAGCUGAAGGUAUGCAAGAUUAGUACUCAUGAUAAUCCUGCUGAUAUGAUGACAAAGCCUAUUCCUGUUGCUAAGUUUGAGUUAUGCUCAAGCUUAGUAGGUUUGAUUGAAUAGUCCAAGAGACUAUUGUUGGCACCACUGGUUUUCUAUCUUUGUUGUUUAGGAUGAUGGGUUGAUUUAUGAUACAAGAAGAAUUUGUCUCAAGGUGGAGUUUGUUGGAGUUGUUCCAAAUUCACUUCAGGAUAUUGGCCGGGCUUCUGACGGAGCGAAGCGGAGGCCCGUCGCCGGAGGUUUCGUGGAGACACACGAUUUACGUGGAAAACCCCUCCAAUACUAGGGUUUCGUGGAGACUUGAUUCUCUUGUAAGCCGCCGCAGGCGUGUAACCCAAACUCUUGAGAUAGUGAGAUCGUUGCUGGCUGGUGCCCGUGGUUUUUCCCCUUCGCAUUGGAGGGGUUUUCCACGUAAAUCGUGUGUCUCUGCGUUGAUUGAUUUCAUACUCCAUACGUCGUUUCUAACAAUGUAUGUUUUCCAUGGUUCUGCAGUUAAAUUUCGUGGUAACACCCUCUGAUGCGCGUCUUUUGUGUGCACUAGCUUUAAUUAGGUGAUUUGGAAGCAUAGUAAAGUUUCGACUGAAGCUAAUGCCAUCCUUGCUACUUGAGAAGGACAUUCUUUUAAAGAAAAUAACCUGAGUAUGAAAACAUCAUCGCAGCAACGCAGUGCAAAAUCAUUUGUCAUUGGUUACAGAAAUAAAUGUUUGGCCACAGCAGAAUAAUGCAAUGGCAGUAAAAACGUGCAGUGCACACGUGAGAUAAUAUAAUGGUCCUCAAUGCCAGCUGCAUGUACGAUUGCACAACCCAUAAAUCACAGCAACAGAUGACACACAGAGUCACAGAGAGCCGCCCAAUGUCGAUGAGAAGUCCAGUGAGUGCGGGCUCGAUAUUGGGAGGUAGGAUGCAGUUUGUGCUCGAGGAGUAGAGGUGAUGCAUUGAGUGUAUCUUGGAAUUGGGAGGCAUCAGAAUUCUGGGAUAUAUGGCUCGCCUUGCAGUUGCAGUGGCUGCCCAUCCCAAUCUGGAGUCCUGUACUCCUGUGGCAUUAAGAUCCCAGUCGUGUAGAAUUAGCUCUUUGAGCAUAACUUCCACUUCACCGAAGAGCAGGCAUUUUUUUCCUUUCAAUCAAAGUGAUCCUGUCUCAUAUCCAGGUCUUGCACAAACCGUCCAUGAAGCGCGAAUGAGGGCCGGCAUGCUGCCUCCCAGAUAGCUGUGUGUCCAAUCAAUGUCCUGUAUGCAGUCCCAAGCUCCGUAUCGAGCCGUGAGAUAAUGUAAAAUGAAUUAAUGUUUUUUUUUCCUUUUGCAAGAGUAAUAGUUGUGGCAGCUUCCCUAACGUUUAUUUCGCUUCAACAAACAUCACAAGGUCUAGUGUCAAAUUAUUGUUUGUUCCGUUGAAAUUUAACUUAUGCUAAUUUGUUGAAAGAGGAAAAUACUGCUAAAAUAGUAUUUUAAGUAUUUUGCCUACCAUCCUGACAGAAGAGUCGAUGAGUUAUCAUUGUCGGUGGCUCUAAUAACUAUAUCCAAAUGAGUCUGGCUAAUAAAUAAUAUCCAAAAUACUUAUGAAGGCGCUAACAAAUAAUAUCCAAAAUACUUAUGAAGGCGCGGGAAUGUCUACGCUUAGGAAAAGUAGAUGUCCAUGCUAUGCUACUUGCCAGACCUAGCAAUAUAAUUCCAGACUUUUUAAAUUAUAAAUAUGUACACCUUAAAUAUUUAUUUUUAGCUUCCCUUAUCAAUCCUCUGAGUGCUUAGUUUGUUGCAAAUCUAAAUAAUAAUCUGCAUGCCGCAGGCUGUAUGUUCUGUUUCAACAAUGAAGCCAGAUAAACACUGGAACAACUUUGUUGACAGUGCCAAUGAGCGAUACUAGUUCUUCAAGGUGUGUUUGUGACUGCUGCUAUCUUCUAUCCUUACCAGGAAAGAGUAAAUCAUCUGGAUGGGUCUAGACGACUAUGCACAUCUUGCAAGUUCCCAAGGCAUUCACCACAGUCUUUGAAGAGGAUACCAAAUAUAGUGAAGGCAGAAAAAAAAAGUUUCAUUCGGAGCCAAAUACUCUAGAACUGGAAGAAAUCAAUGAAAAGAAGUUGUAAGGCAGGAGCUCAUGAAUGCUCCAAGCACCAGAAUAGAAAUUGGAAGAACGGUUCUCUUGUCGUAUCGAUUUGGAGGAAUCAAUGAUCUGAAUACCCACGUUAAUACUGUAUACACAUUCUUUGCAGUAUGAUACGUGUAUGUCUUUCUACAGUUUGUAGUUAAUUUCGCAGUAACGCCCAGUUACGCGCAUCUCUCGUGUGUGUAUUUAGGUGAAACCGGAACGUAACGAAGUUUCAACUAAAUUAACCAAAUCAUAUCCUCCCUACUUGAGAAGGUUUUUUGUUUUUAAAAAAGUACCUGAGUUCCGAAACACCAUUGCAGCAGGGCAGUGCAAAAACCAUUUGCCAUUAGUUACAGAAAUAAAUGUUUGGCCGUAGCAGAAAUGACAGCAAAACGUGCAGUUCACAUGACAUCAUGUACUAUAUAAUAGUCAUCUAUGCCAGCUGCAUGUCCGAAGAUCCAUAAAUCAUCAUGACCUUAAAAGAGACCAAGCAGAGCACGCCCAUUCUUCGACAAGCAUCAAAUGACACACUACUGAGAGCCGUCCCAAGUGGUGAUGAGAACUUGAGAAUCAGGUGACUAUGGUCUCGAGAGGGAGGGGGGAUGCACAGUUUUGUGCUGGACUGCGUGCUAGAGCGGUGAUGCGCACGCUGAGCGUAUCAUGGGAUUGGGAGGCACCGGAAUGCUGGGAUAUACGGCUCGCGUAGAAAUGGCUACGGAUCCGAACAUGGUGUCCUGUUUAAGAGGGAUAUCAAGGUCCCAGUGCUGCAGAAUUCACUGUUGCACCACAAGACUCAGGACAAGGUGUCGUAUUCCAUUCGAUCAAAAUGAUCCUGUCCCGUAUCCUGGUCUUGCACCUGUCCACGAAGGUAAACUGUGUGCCACUGAUCAGGACAGCGUGCUGCUUCCAGAUAUUAGCGCCCGCUAUGCUGUCACAAGUAGUCCAUACCAGCUGCUGUUCAUCAUCAUCUUCUUCUCUUUCACUUUUUUUUUUCUGCUUUUGCAAUAGUAAUAGUAGUGGCAGCUUUCCUAGCAGAAUACAAAUAUACCAUGGUUUAUUUUGCUCCACCCUAGCUACGUUGAGGGUAAUUCAUAGGAAGUAGAGGUGUUUCACAACCGUCCUGACUGAACUGGACGAGGAGAUCAAUGUGGGUGUAACUAUCCAACAAAUGAAUCUGGCUGCUAAAAAAAAAAUCCGAAAUAUUAACGAAGACGUUAGAAAUAUGCGUGCUGAGUAAAAGUGAUGGUUCUCCAAGCUACGCUGCUUGCUUCUUUCCAGUCCUAGCAAUUAUUCCUUGAGAACUGCUCCAGCACUCCUUCAGAUUAGUAUGAAUCUCGAAGCAGCAAGAUAAUUAUCUAAAUUCAUUUAUUAGAUUUUAUAAGUUCUGGCCCGUCCCUGCCCAGUUCUGAGGCCCUGUUUAGUUCUCCAUCUAAAAAUUUUUCAUCCAUCCCAUCGAAUCUUUAGACAUAUAAAUGGAACAUUAAAUGUAGAUAAAAAAAUAAACUAAUUACACAGUUUGAUUGAAAAUCGCGAGACGAAUCUUUUAAGCCUAGUUAGUCUAUGAUUAGCCUUAAGAGUAACCCACAUGUGCUAAUGACAGAUUAAUUAUUCUUAAUAGAUUUGUCUUGCAGUUUCCAGUCGAGCUAUGUAAUUUAUUUUUUUUAUUAGUUUCUAAAAAUCUCUCCCGACAUCUUUCCGACAUAUCCGAUAUUACACCCAAAAAAUUUUCAACUCCAAUCUAAACGGGGCUGAGGAUGCAGAUGGACCCACGCGCUGCCCAGUUUUAUGUGUGGUGGCGUGACGAGAACGGCAGUUUGCUUACUCCGUGUCGGAGGGAACUCAUUAAAUGAACGACGGUGCACCAUCGACACCACAAGACCACAACGGCGGCUCCAGCUUCCUCAAGGGCCACGAUCGUCGAAGGGUGUUGGGACUCCAAACAUCCAUGGUGGGGUCAAGCACCGCGAGCAUCUCCAAACUGGCUUCUUGCUAGGCCCAGCUGGGCCGGGGCAGCUGCGCCCCCUCCUUGGGGCCUAGUUGGCCGUUUUCUCCACUGAUGAGUACGGCCUAGAUUGCGCAUGUGAUAAUACUCACCCUUCUCCACUCAGCGUGUCCUCAUGCCAAAAUGUGACCCACUCGUCGAUGCCAUCGGGUGGUAGAGCUCCUUCCGACAGGAUGGCCACUCGAAGUUGUACUGAAGGUUGCCAAUGUAGCUGAAGAGGUAGUAGAUGAUAUCGCCCGUGGUAGAUCCAAUCCGUGCACCCCUUAUGCUACAACAAGAAGAGGAUGUGUUAUCAAUGUCGGAAUGUUUUGAAGCAAACCAUCACUCGUGGAGGAGCGACGAAGCCACGAAUGUGGUAGUUGAUGUCGGGGUUGAUGGAGAUUGGACAUGGUGCCAUAUCGUCGUUGUCGAAUGUGUCGACAGUGAUGUCGUGAGGUCUAGCAUUGAGCCAAAGAUGAAGGCACCCAAGUCAAAUGUGUCCAAUGAGAGGCGAUGAAUGUCAGAGCCUGAAAGAAGACUAAUGUUGACGCUGUCAAUGCGGGCAAUAAGACGACCAAAGUUGUUGGGGAAAGACAACCGUAGCCACUGCUAUAGGGCAUUGUAGCAACCAUGGGUGGCCCAGGAGGAUGUGUGUGGGCAUCCCCUUGAGUUGUCCUCCCUACAACAGAGGUACUUGUGCUCCCAAUGCCAACAACUCUAUGUUGGUGGAACCUCCGCGUCGUAGGACUUGCAAAAGGUGGGGGAGCAAUGCUGAUGCCGCUGGUAAGUAGAAGCGCCGGUCAAAGAAGAUGAGGCCCUGAUCCAUGGACCAUGCCUGCGUGGCCUGACCCUCCAUGAUGGUCAUAGCGAUGGUGCGGAGCUCCCACUGCUUUCUGAUAGCCUGGCGCAUGUGCGUGAAGAUGAUGUCGUCUGGAUUGUCGAUGUGGUCAAGGGCGUUGGGAAGGGGGGCUCUCUGUGACCUGUUCAUCACAUUACAAGGGGAGGGUGGUGAAGUCCAUGCUUCGCAUACCAUUGGCGAGGGCACCGAGAGUGCGAGCAUCGUCAUAGGCGCCUGACGAUGAAGAGUAGUGUGGAAGGUGUACGGACACCCAUUGUGACAGUACUACAGCUCCAUAUUGAUGAAGUCCUAGAUAACAUGCUCGAGGCUAGCUAGCCAUGGCGUGCCAAGUACGACGUCGACAUCAUUGGCAAUGUUGAGGAGGAAGGUGUCGAUGUCGAAGGCGAAGCUGCUGAUGUGUGGUAGUAUGUUGAAGGAAGCACCGUGGCAUAGGACCUCGUUCCCGGUACCAAUGAGUAUGGUGGUGUUGAUGCAUUGCUCUUAGAGACAAAUGGAGCUGGUGACGUUGAUGUCGAUGAUGUUGUGCCUCGAGCCUGAAUCCACCAGCACAAGGAUGCCCACGCCAUUCAUCACCCCCUCAAGGUACAUGGGGGAGGCGCCUUGGACCCCGGAUUGGAGCCUGUCGAUCAUCGCCAUAUAUUAGGUUGCCGUCAGCCUCCUCCAGGUCAUAGUCAUUGACAACGGUGAUGUCGAAGAGCAGCUUGCACUUGUGGCCAUGUGCAAACGGCUUGUCGUAUUUGAAGCAUAGGCUGGCACGGCGUCAUUCUGCCAUCUCUUCAGCGGUAAGACGCUUGAAGGGGCGGGAAGUGGGCCCAACAGCAAACUAUAUACUCACUACUUUAUAAUUGUUGGAGAAAAUAAAAAUCCAAGUCUUAAAUGAAAGAGUCUGGUUGGAAUCAUAAGUGUGGUAGAAAGAACCGAUUAGGAACUUCAACUUCGUUUUUACGGCAUCCACUUAAUUUGAAUCAAGUAAAAAUAAAAAUAAAUUGAAUAUAAUUCUUAAUAGGCCUGACUCCGUAAAUCCAUUUUAGCAGAUGAGCAGUUUCUAACCUCCUCCGUAAAUCAAGUCAAUGCUGAGGAGGAGACAUCUAAACAUUCAAGAUGAUGAACUACGUGUUAUGUGCAAUGCAGGCCUCGAGGAGGACAUUGACCAUCUUUUCUUUUCACUGCCCUUUCGCAGAACAGUGCUGGACUACCAUCAACAUCAUGUUAGAUAUCAAUUUACGCCUACCAGAGAGGUUUCCUGCAGCCCGCCAAAAUCACAACCUGGAAUUCUUCAUGGAGGCUUCCCUGAUUGCGACCUGGGAGCUAUAGAAGAUGCAGAAUGACAAAGUGUUGCAUGGACGCGAUCCUACUGUUAGUAGCUGGUUAGCCAACUUCAAGAAUCAAUGUAUUUUGCAGUCGCUUAGAUUUAGGGAUGACCUGAGGACCUCCUUGUGUUUUUGGCUUGAUGCAUGCUUUUAGCUAAUUCAGGUUUGUAACCUUGUUUAAACCCUUUUGAUAUAUACAAAAUCAACUGCAGGGAUCUCUCUCACAGUAUUUGCAUAAAAAAACCUCCUCCGUAAAUAAAACGUCUGCUUCCAAAAAUCCUCAUGUAUUUUAGGAGACGAUUGAAUUUUGUGACCGCUUCCAUUAAUGAUUGGGCAGUGUACGUCUCGCGAAAUCAUUUAUAUAGUAGUGAUUGGGAGGCACCGGGACUCUUGGUUACUAUGAUUCAGGGAUACAAAGGGUGUGGUUGGUUCUGGGCUGUCGUACUUCACUAGGGUAGAGUGUCGACAAAAUCCAAUCAAUUGAGGAUAUGUCAUCCUCUACCACUUUGAAUACAUCGACACAGGUCUACCCCCUGUGUCGCUCCUAAAUUGGCUGUCCUUCCCUCUCAUCCCCGCUUCCUUGCACGCACAUAGAGUUUAGAUGUUGCGGGUUGUUGUUUGUGUUGUUGGCAAGAGGAAUUCAUGUCUAUUCUGCAGUUCGCAGACAAGAGCUCAACUACUAGACAAACUUAAAAUCUGUUUGCUGGCGGUGUUGUUGUUUUUGGGUUGUUGCUCUAUUUGUUAUUGACAUUUCACUUUUUCCAUCUUAAUAACAUUACUAAGUAAAGACUGCUACUGAAGCCUUCACGUUAAGCUUUACCAGAUGAAAUAAAUUAAUAUAUAUAACUUCUUGAAACCCAUGAAAAUGAAAAACAUAUGAAUGUUAAUUUAGUAGACUCUAUUUUGACAACAAUAGUCACGAGAUCUAUGCCAUUUUCUAAAAUUUAACAGCCUCCGCCAUUGUGAAGACAGAAAUAUCUUCCAAUAUGAAAUCUAUAUGCCAAAUUACUAAUGCGUAUGCCAAUAUGUGUAAAAUGGUUAGACAACAUUGUGCUUUAUAUGAUGAUUUAUCUGUUACAUUGUCCUAUGAAACUAAUCUAAAACCACCAUAAAGAGUGGACAUUUUAAGGUGCCCACCUCGGUUAAUCGAUUUUGCGAGGUGGUUGUUUAUAACCGCCUCGGUUAAUAAAAAACGACAGUCUUGGUUAGUUCGAGGCAUUUAACUGAGACGGUUCAAAAUUAUGCCCGCUUUUGAGGGGGUUUGGAAAAGGUCGCAGUUAAGUUUUUUUUAGUAGUAUCCAAGUGAGGUUUUAGAUGUUGGGUUAACUAAAGACAACUGCAGAUGCUCUAAUCUUGCAUAUCUUAAUCAUCCACUGUGUUAUUAUGAAAACUAGUAUCUUGCCCAUGCUAACUCUACGGCGUCAUUUAAGAACACAAAUCAACCAACAAAAAACAUAAUAACUCAACUAAAAAAUUAAUCUCCAAUAUAAUUGACCAAUCCAAAUUAAGCUUAACCCACCCCCACACAGAGAUGACAUUUUCUCCAUCCACACCAGAUUAUGCACCCAGAAAAACCCUCACAUGACAAACCACCGCGAUCCUACAGCUACGAACGAUUUGAGGCUUCAACGCACCCACCCAUCCUGUGGUACCGGCUCCUCUGUCACUUUGUCCCUAAGCCCGUGCUCUCUGUUCAAUUCCCAACUCCCACUCUAUUUCCCUUUUUUUCCGAGAAAACAAAAAUCCCACAAUAUCGCUCAUAUUUGUUAUGCAGAAAUCACGGUGGCCAGCUCGCUUUCGAGUUCAAAGAGGGAGCAGGCGGUGCCUUUCAUUGUGGUGUAGGUGGACGAGGCCGAGUAGGACAGGCAAGCACGGGUGCUGGAUAAGGCAUGAGGGGCAGGGACAGCCAGUGCAUCUCCAUGGACCUCGACUCCACCCGUCCACCGUACUGUUUUUUUUUAUGAAACUGGAGAGGCCGAAGCCUCUACAAAGAUUUUAUUAAGCAAAAGCAAAACAGCUAAGAACAACAAAAGGAGGAGGGCAAGCCCAGGCUCCGGGUUCAGGAAACAAAAAAAGAAACGAAAAAAAUGAACUCUAGCCAACUUAAAAUCCCAGAUUGUGAAUCCAUUCAGUAAACUGAAGCAAGAGCGAAGGUUUCACUCUAUGUUGGAGCAUCGUUAAUUCCUUCACAAGGUGCCUGCGGCAAUUUACCAAACUAAUUUAAAUCCCAUUGAAGAUUAGCUCAUUUCUCAUGUUCCAAAUUGCCCAGGAAAUCAGGAUGACUGUAUCCAUAGCAAAGGGAGAGGCCAGCUGAUCUCUUAUCUGGGAGAAAACCUCAGGAACAGAACUCUGUGUGCGGGAGCAGCGCAGUCUUCGCCGUCAUGGUGCCGGAUGGCUCUGCGGGCGGGCAGGGGUGGAGGAAGGCGAGGUAUAGCGCUCGCCAUCCCUUGAUUUCGCUGUCAAUAUCCCUACAGAUUGCCGGCAAAACCAGUCCCAUCCGGCGCCCACCAUGGCUGCCAAACUGCUACAUUACGAAAACGCAAUCGACUCGCAGGAUGAGGAUGAAACUGAGAUGGAGUGGGCUUAGUGCCGAAGUUCAAAGAUAAGUCUGCUGUGAUCGGCGCGGGCAUGAUCGAUCGACCAAAAAGCAGCGCCCAUGGCCCGUCAUGUGCUAUGCCGGUGUUGAUGAGCGUUGUGAUGGUUAGACAUCUGUCUUUCAAUUGCAUGGGAUUAUUUGUUCCCUCGGGCUAGCCUAUGGGCAGCAGUUGCAUUUGUUUGUGAACCUGGCAUUCUGCAUUUUGUUUAUCUGAGAGCAAUUGAAACCUGGCACUGACGAGGGGUUUCAGGUUUCGGCGAUGCUCUAAUUUGCAUCUAAAUUAUAUAUCCACUGUGUCAUUGUAAUACGUCUAGAUGUCCUUUCAAAUUACCCACAUCGAUUAUUAUGAAAGAAAAAUAUUAUUAGUAACACUUUUAAUUUGUAUAUAUAUAAAUUAUAUGCCACAAAUUAUUCACUUGUAAGUUUAUAAAAACCUCAUUUGUAUAUAAAUUAUCCAUAUUGAACUAGCACAGAUGAGGAUGCAUAUCACCUAUCCCUGAUACGGUCACCUCUAAUUAGAGACUUGGGUUCCAUAGGCUUGUCUGUGAUGUAUGCAACAUCAGAGACCUGGGUUCCUUGAGCCGGAAGUAAGACGAAUUGUCUUAUUUUCAGUGCUUUCCAUUGUUUUUUUUCGAAAACGUGCACUUAGCCCGUGUUGCUUUAAGGGAAGAAAGAGUUUGUUACACGGCUUGCUGGGGAUUAGGCGAGGUUUCUUUCCCAAGCAAGCGAGACACACGAACAGAGAGCACCGGCUGGAACGGUGGAGCUUUGAGAGGCGUGCUAAAGGAACGAACUAGAAGUGCUACACGGAGCGAAGCCACUAGGCAGAAGCUAAAGCAAAAAGAGGGGGUAAGCUUGGAGAACCCCGCCGCGAUCUAGUUAUCGCCCUCGGCCCGAAUUCGCAGCAAAACCCGAGUCGUGGUUGCGCAGACCCCAUCGAACGUCCGUCGGUUUCGCUCCUUCCAAAGUUCCCACGAAACAAGAAGGACGAGCGAGUCGAAUCCCCGCGAUAAAGCUCCUGGGACCUGCUUCCUGGCUACUAGCCACCAGUCGACUAGCGUGUCGGACUGCGAUGGCGCGGUGUGCUGUAGACCUACCGCGCUGAGGAUGCGGUACCAAACCUCACGUGUGAAAACGCAUGCGGCGAGGAGGUGGUCGCACGUCUCGUCCUCCUGGCCGCAUAGGAGGCAGUCCGCUUGUUGCUGCAGUCCGUGCCUCCAUCUCCGUUCCGCCGUUCACAGCCUCUUCCGAAGCGCGAGCCAGAAGAAGAAUUUUACUUUGGGAGGGCAGCACACACGCCAAACCUCACGUGCUCCCGCGAGCCCCGUGGUCCCAUGGAAGAAAGCGCGAUAAGCAGAUGCCGCAUCGUACGUUCCAUCAGCGCUCCAUCUCCAGAUGAACCUGUCGUCGACCCCAGGCUGUAGCUGAACCUCUUGCAGGACAUCCCACAACAUCAGGUAGUCGGCAAUCACAGCUGCCGUCGUCGCGCUAGGUCAAAUCAUCCUCAAUUGCAAAUUGGACCGAAUCGGAAAUGGUGGUGUACUACUGUAGUCUCCAGUGGUUAGUGACCAGGCAACCUUCACUCCAUGCAACCAGGAUCCCACACUAGGUUCCUUGAGGCAAAAGGAAGAUUAAUUUUCUUAUUUUCGUUGUUUUACAUCAUUUGAAUGCUUCAUAGUGGCUGGUGCAGUAAUAUUUGGUUAGCGUGAUGUUUCGACCAAGUCAUCUGACUUGGAUUUGUUAAUUGGUAGGGCGCUUGCAAUUGCCAAUUUCAAUGUAUCCCACAAAAUGUAGAGUUCUGAUGUGUAGCCUUUGUUGGUGAGAGUGAGAAGUUUCAAUUGGCCUACAGGUAGGAUACACAUAACAGCGAGAUCAAAAUGCAUGGAUGUGGCAGGAUAUACGUAUUAAUGAGAGCAAGAAAUAUAAUCUCAAUUGACAAACUGAAUGUAGCUAGCUGGCUGGGUUUCUUUGACAUAACACACGGUUACUUGCAUUUUCCUAGAUUUAUUAUUAUAACGUAGUUUUUUUAGUAGUAAGCGACGUCACACAACGAGACACGACACAACUUCGUCGAUCUUGACAUCUGCUGUCAAUUUUCGAAGGCGCUCAAAAUUUUGCAGACUAAAAAUGAUGGCAAAUAAAUGUAACAUCUACAACAUAGAUAGCAUGCAUCCACUAAGGGUUUUCCUAAUCACAUUUCCUGGACUGGAGACAUUAUUUGUAAUGGUAAAAAAAUAAAAUUAUUCCUAAAAUGAAGUUUCCCGUCUAUUCGUUUCGCCAAGCAUUCCUGAUUCAUCUGGAACUAUUAAUUUGCUGCCACAUAAUAAAUUGAAGUAAUGUGCAUGUUUUUUUCUUUUUGAGAAACUAUGUGCAAUUAGCAUUGCACAGCUGCGUGCCGGGACAACCAAUUAUCUUGGCCCUUUAAAGCACACACAAGAUUUAUGGGUGGUCUUGCCAGCGGUUCAUUCUUUUGACAAAAGAAAACACAAGAGUGGGUGGGAGUGUGCCUGUGUCCGACAGGAAGCACCCAUACGGUAUGUAGUCAUGUGGGAUUGGGAGGAAUCGGGUUCUUUUCCUGCGCUGAGAGAGUAGCAGUUUUUCAAUACAAGGCUGGAGAAGUUGAAACAUGAGUAUUAUCUUCAGGAGAAGGGAUCGCCUAUUUUUCCAAAGACUUCCCUAAAAGCGAAGAGUAUAUCAUAAUUUCCAAAGCCCCCACAGUGCAGCAGCACAAAACAUAUUACCUACUAAAACAGGUUUUGUUACUUAACGCAAUUGUCCUAUUGAAUGAAAAUCAGCACCUUAAAUUUUAUCUAGAGUUUAUAGAGAGACAACACCACAUCUCUGCUUCGCUACAGCGCAGUCAAAGAAAGGUGAAAACUUAUUCUGGUUCACUAAAAAAAAUAAACAUUUUCUUCUUAUAUACUAAGAUUGUCUCUCUCUUUUUAGAAAGCAACCAUAGAGAAACAAAUAAACUCGAGAAGGUAUCUUGAGACUCCAAAGCCGGAACAUGAAGAGGUAGCACCCCUCUGAAAUUGAUCACCUUAAGAGGAAUUGAGAAGAAUAAAAACCAUCAGAAGUAAACUACUACAUUAGGGAGUCUUCUUCACAAAAGAAACAAAUUUUAGAGGAUGACUGAACUACUUCUAACUAGAGCUUGAUGAACCUAUUAUCAACAUGCCUUCUAAAGGUACAUUUAAGAUUAGUUCUUGUUGACGUGGGAGGUGAUCCAGAUCACACACCAACAAGGAAUACAUGACCCUGAUUGUGCUAGAACACAGCAAACUGACGAAACUAAUCUAGAGAUCAGUUAGGUCAAUGCGGAGCCUGUUAUUGGCCUGAUAAACUCCCUAACUCCUGGAAGACCGGUUAGGUAGGGGCACGUCGAGGGUUUCCUAGGACUAGUAAGGCCUCCUAAACGCUGCCAAGUCUCGCAGGGAGACAUGAUGAACAACAAGGUAGAGAGUGGAGAGUGUAAAAUGGUGUAGUAGAUGUGUUUUUGAUUUUUGGAAUUUGGGAUCCUCAAUCUACCAUGAUCCUCUCCUAUAUACAGAGAGGGUGGUCUUAUUCAAUUAGAAAACAAGUCCAAAAUGCGUUCCCCAAGUUUUCCACGCCAAAAAUAAGUCUAAAACCGAUUUAGAAAUCAAUCUGGUUCGGAAUAGCAGGAAAAGUCGGCUCCCAACUCCCAAGUCGGCUAAGCUAGUUUUUGCAGGCCUCAGAACUGUGGCUUGCCCGACAUAGGGGAGAGUCGACUUAGCUAGCUAGGGAAGUUGGCUAAGCUGAUUGGGUGCAGGCGAGCUAGCCAAGCCGCCCCUGGUGAGCCAUGCUGGUUUUCUUCCUUCUUUGCAUGUGUUCUUUCCUUGUUUGUCACGCCAAAUAGUUUUCAAUACUUCUUUGGUGUUAAGAACUUGCUGGUGAUGUCUAUACUCCAUGUUGAGACACUUUUAAGUGUCAACAGUUCCAUCCCAAACGUUAGCGACUAUUCAAGACUUUUCUUUGACCAGGAUAUAAAUCUCCCAAAACUAUGUAGUUUGACUAGACAUACUUUAGCUAGUUAUCCAGCCAAGACUUCAUCUACUACUUGUAUUCUAUUUUCCAUAUAAAACUCAUUUUUGCUAUUGCCCACAUUAAGCCUUUAAAAAACUAUGAGGCCCCAAAGGUCAUUGGUCUACAAAAUAUAUUUGGUCUAUCGGUAUUGUAUUUGUGAUCAACGAACUAUCUACAGGGCGCUUAUGCCCAUCUAGAUCAUUUCUUCUAAUCCAAGAGGCUUGCAGACAAAUACUUAAGUGUCUUAGGUUGGGGAUACCAAGACCCCCAUACCCCUUCAACAUACUAUCAUUUUCCCAAUUGCCAAGUUAUGCUUGUGAUAAUUAGGAUUGUCGUUCCACAAAUAGUUUGUUAACUGAAAAUAAAGAACAACAUAGCCCACUUCAACAUAUAUACUAAUGCACGGAGCACGGGCACCGUUGGUCCGCUCGACCAAGCCACCACCGCAAGUGAUGCCUCUGCCUGCCUCUCCUGGACACCGUUGUUUCUCAUCCUGCCCAUGCAGGCACCAACUCAUCUUUCUGGUCCAAGCAGAAGGGCAGCUGCCGCCAUGAUCUCCCCCACGCGUUCACUGAGAGCUAGGGUUGGUGUCAUCAGAUCGGGUGGAGGUGAUGGCAUGGCACCCACCAACAGAGAGAGAGAGAGAGGUAUCUGCAGAGGAGAUGGCGCUCGCCAAAGCUCCGAGUUAGAGACGGAGAGAGGGGGGGAUCGAGGGAGGUGACAACAUCGAUCACAGAGAGUGAAUCGGGAAAUCGUGCGAGGGAGCACCUGAGCGGGGCAUGGAUAUAGUUUACUUUUUGGGACAGACUAACAACGAGCCUGUACUGGGCCUCCACUGAUUAAAUUGUGGUCCGGGCCAUGUCGUUCCAUGUGCGGAAAGAGCGGCCAAAGCACAGAUUGCUCCACCAUGUUGGACCGGGCCAAAAAUGCAGCCUUGGCCCAGUCGCGGAGCUAGAACAAAUUCAAAGAAGGUGCGCUUGUCUUAUGGGUGCAAGACUUUAUAAUUUAUGGGUGCAAAUAGGGUGAAAAUUUAACAUUUACCAUUGUUUUUUAUUUUUUUCAUGGCAGUGGUACAUGUAGCUCCGUCCAUGCUCGGGCCGGGCCUAUGGGCUGUGAGCUGUGUGUGCAUCUAUAUGGUUCAGAAUAGAGAUUGGAACAACGGUUCUCCUCUCAUAACCAUUUUGGAGGAAUCUAUGGUCUGAAUGCCCAUGAUUUAUAUUGUACACAGUUUCUUGCACUCUGAAUUGUGUAUGUUUUCCAUGGUUUUACAGUUAAAUUUCACGGUGGUAACACCCCUGUGAUGCUUGUCUUUUGUGUGCACUGGCUUUUUUGGUGAUGUGGAAAGCAUAAUGAAGUUUGAACCGAAGCUAAUGCUAUCCUCGCUACUUGAGAAUGAUUUUCUUUUAAAUAAAACUACCUGAGAUUGAAAACACCAUCGCACCAACGCAGUGCAAAAAUCAUUUGUCAUUGGUUACAGGAAUAAAUGUUUGGCCACACAGUUGAAUGCAGUGGCAGCAAAAACGUGCAGCGCACACGUGAGGUAGUGUAAUUAAUGGUCCUGAAUGCCAGCUACAUGUAUGAUUGCACGACGCAUAAAUAAACAUGACCUUACAAGAGAACACGAGCGUGUCCAUUUGGCAAGCAACAGCAACAGAUGACACACAGAGCCGCCCAAAGCGUGGAUGAGAAGUUGAGAAGUCAGGUGACUACGAUCUCGAGAGGGAGGGAGGAUGUUGUUUGUGCUAGAGCACUAUAGUUGAUGUGCUGAGUGUAUCAUGGGAUUGGAAGGCACCGGAAUUCUGGUGUUGUAUACGGCUUUGCGUCGAGGUGGCUGCCCAUUCAGAGUUUGCUGUUUUGCACCAUACAACUCCGGAUGAGGUGUCGUCUUCGUUUUGAUCAAAAUGAUCUUGUCCCGUAUCCUGGUCUUGCACCCGUCCACAAAAGUGAACUGUCCCACUAAACUAAAGCCGCGCAACUCAGGCAUAAGAAAACCACAAUCAGAAAAAUUUUCAACAACUCCAACGUAGCUAGCUUCAGGCCUCUGGUAAAAAUAUGGUGGUUUUUGAAGAUACAUCCUUAUUAGAAUGUCUUCUUUUUUGAGGAACAGCUAAAGCCAAGCCGAUACCUCAGUGUCAAGUCAAAAUUUUUGUUCUUCUUCCAUAUCUAUGAGCACUAUAGAAAUAUUAAAAGAGAUUACUCCCUCGGUCAAGAAAAAAUAUUUUCACUUCUUGGAGAGUCAAAUAAAUUUAAACUUGAUUAAAUUUAAGUACUAAUAUUUAUGAGGUUGAGUAAGUAUCAUCAAAAUAACUAUAAAUAUGUUUUCAUAUUAAACCUAUUUUAACAAAUAUUUAUUCAUACUAUUUUAUACAAACUUGAUUAAACUUAAGAAGGUUUGACUUGUCAGAUCAAAAGACUUGUUGUAUUUAAAAGUUACAAAUAAUAAAAUGUUACCUGCACUAACAAGUUAUCCACUCAUGUUAUACCUAUGUCGAUCAACACAUGCACAGCUAGCCACGUACAGUACACGAACACACACCCUAACCCCUCAACGGCUAUGCAUGCACACACUAAAAAAAUGGAUUUACUAUAUCAAUAAGAUCAUGCAUGCAUCAAUCAAAUCAAGGAAUAUUUUUUAUAUCUAAAACUUUCCUUAUUUAUCCUAUUUUCUAAAACAAGAAAAUAAAUAAAAAUAUAUUUCAUCUGACCAUCCGAUCGAAAUAAAUGGAUGGCUCACAGUUAUUUAGGAAUACCGCAGCAAAGUCCGAGAAAUUUAGCUUGCAUGAGCGUAAACAGGAAUUUUUGAAGUGGCAUCAUGUAAGCGCUUACGUAGAACACAUAGAUACGACCUCAUCAUUCAAGGUAAAUAAAUGAUCGAUUACAUGGAGCUGUUUGAUUUUCCAGACAAGGUUUCUGGCAAAGCCAAUUAUAUAUGCCUUUAUAAGUUGACAACAUUUAAACUCUUUCAUCAGGAUCUACAAAAAUAAGAAAAAAUGAAACAAUAAUUUGUUUUUGUUCUGAACUCCAAAGAGUCACCUUAUUAAAAAAAAAGAAAUUAGUUUCAGAGAAUGCAUUAAUUCAACAUGCAAUUCUAGCUUUUAGAAGUAAUUUGAGUAAAUUCUGCGAACUACGUAUCCAUGUGAACCCUCAAAUUAGUUUCUUCUGAUGAUGAAUCAUUCUUACCACAGUAACCAUCAGGGAAGAAAAUUGUAACACUGACGAACAGAACUGUUUGGUACCAUGGGCACAACUUGGACAAAAGAGUAGUCAUCUAAACCUAAUACAUUGUACAGCUCACCAAUAUGAAAUUCUCCAAUACAAGUGAAGCUCAAGUUUCGGUCACUUAUCCUUUUCACUACAGGAUUCUGAGACUUUGCCGAGUGUUCGGACACUCGGCAAAGGCCCCUCUCGCACUCGGCAAAGGCUUUACCGAGCGCCCACUCGGAAAAGGCCGCUCGACAAAGAAUUAAUCGGCAAAGAGAUUUUUUGCCGAGUGCCACGUGUCAGACACUUGGCAAAGAUAGAAAUGAAAAAAUUCCAAAAAAAAUAGGGAAAAUUUUUUUUAGGGGGAGGGCUGCCAUCAGCUAGCACCUCCCCAAUUUUUUCAACGAUUUUCCAACAAAAUUUGCAACUUUGCUGCAACUGAGAUUCAAACCUAGGACCUCUCUCACAAGCACCUUACUCCUUACUAGUACAGUGUCCGUGCUAACGCUACGGUUUUUUUCAAGAUGCACAUGCAAACAACCAAACAACGACAAUUUUAUACAGUUUAAGUCUCAUGCAACUAUAUAUGACCAUAUAUAUAAUACAAAAAACACUCAUGCAUAAUAAAGCAUAAUAAAUUAACGUCUCACAUAGUACAAUUAGCUUAUUAAAUUCAAAGCACAAGUCACAUUAACAUAAAAUUGAAAAGACCUAAAAAAAUCUAUAGCCUGGCAAUUGUACAAGCUAGGAUUGUAACCUAGCAAAAAGUUGAGGCGAGUUUCUCCGCAGCUAGCUAGUGCAACAUCAACUUAUGCUAGUGCAUUGAUGGUUCCAUAUACAAUUUCUAAAUGCCUGCACUCAUAAACCUAGUGUGACAAUACAAGAGGAUCUUCCUUUCUUAUUAUGUUUGUAGAAUGAUAUGUCAGUUCUUCUCAUUUCAAAUUAAGAAUAUCAUUUCCUCUUCAUUUGUCAAGCUCCCGCAUAUGGGCAUGGUUUCCUACAUCUGCCUCCACCAUGGCCAUGUACACCUGUUCACAAAUAUUAAAGUGUGAUAAAAAUAUAAAAUUAGAGCAAUAAUUAACACAAAUUGAAAUUAGUCUAUUUCAGUAUAGUAGUACACAAAAAUAGAGUCUAAUUUUAGUCGGGCGAGAAGAGAGGUCGUGACUCACCUUCGCAGCCUGAAAGAGAGAAGUCCUGCUCAGGAGAGGCGCCAGACUUGAAACCAGGUGAGGGCGGCGUCCGAAAAUCGCCCCCAACAGGCCAGCACACCCCAGCAGCCAGCGGAUGCACAUGCCCAAAAAUCGCCAGAGCACACAACAACAGGCAACAAAGUUAAUCCAUCCAAUAAAUAAAGGAGGAAUAUUCUAAUGUGCAUUUUUGUUUAAAAUUAACAAAACUCAAGCUCUAACAUGAAGCAUAACUGACUACAGCUAUAUUGGAACCUUUUGGAUCCUGUUUUACUAAUCAGAGAGUGAGAAUGAGUUGUUGACGGACAUGCAAAAGUGCAAAACUUUUUGAAUCUUGUUUGAAUUGACUGACGAAUUGAAGUAACAAAUAUCACCCAUGUUACUGCAAAUGCCUAGAGAUGAAGAACACUCCCAGGAUAGCAGUCACCUAUAGACAAUCAAGUGGAUAAAUAUAUUGAUCAAAGGAAAAUAGUGUGCUCUCUAGUUAAGCCUGUUUGAACAAUCAUGUCAUACUGUAAAUGCAAGAAACAGGAUAAUGGAAAAGUGAAGUAUUCCAUCCAGUAAUCAGUGAUAUAUAACAGUUAGUUAGCUAAACCUAUCUAGUACACGUACCAAAUUAGAACUGAAAUAUAUGCAAAGUAAAACGACAAAAUUAAAUUGCAUAAAAAAGACAAUAUAAUUGUUAUAUUUGAUCAAAUGCUUAUUGCAACUGUUGCUAAUCCCCAAGACUGUUUCGAGAUAAGAACAAAACUUUACUAAUAGCAUUCUUCCAGUACAAUAGCAAAAAAAGCUCAGUGCUGCUCUGGCUAAGAUUUCGUAGUUCCAGAUUAGGCACUCACACCGGUUAUACAUCUUUUUAGCAUAUAUCCACUUGGAGAUGAACUUACAGGCACAUUGAGAAGCUAUAAACGCCUUGUGAAGAGAGGUGAAACCAUCCUGUAUCAGCAACACUUGCAUAGUUAAAUCUGCCUUCCCUUUGUCAGAUACGAAAGAGAAAUGGAAAUCAUAAGCACGUAACUUAUUCUACCAAGUUGAUGCCAACACAACUGUCCCAGAAGCAAUGCCAUCGCGUAGUUAUGAAGUGGAUGCCAUUUCCACUGCACCAAACAAUUCAUCAAGAAUUAGAUUUAGCAUCCAAUAUUUUAGCAGUUAAAUCAAUGCAGCAUUUGAUGCCUGACAGAAUAAGAUACCUCAAAUUUUCGGCAGCAAAUCGAGAAAUGUAUCCUCAUACACAAAAGAAAGAUGGUUCCUAAAUAUUAAGAUAGCCAGAUGACCUUAACAGAUGAUAUUCUAGUACGUCACGUAUCUCGUGCUGAUCCAAGAUAGUCAUUUCUUUGGGCAUUAGGAGAACCUCGAUUUCCAGGCAAACAAAAACUUAGUUGUAGUGUAGAACACAAAGAAGUAGAGCAGAUGGUCUCUCAAAGAGUAGACCGAUAAGCAGCAAAGAAGUGUAUAUGAAGUCUAUAGAAACACUAAUCUUGUGAUGAAUUGAGAGGAGAGAGACCAUACCUGGAUGCACAUCUUCAUGGGGAGAUGCAGAAUUGGAGUAGGUUUUGGAUCCAAUAGCAAUGAUAGAUUGAAGUGAAUAUUUGGUUUGGCACUGAACUUAUUUCACAUUAUGUGUCAAAUAUAAAUUUAAUAGACUCGUAAAUUGGCAUACCUUGCAUCAAAAUUAAGUAGGAAACAUAUGAUAUUUGUGUAAGCUAUAAGCUGUGCUAGUAAUGAAACUGUAACCAGAGUACAUGACAACUUCAAACCAUCAAAGUCAAGGAGGACCACAUAGGAUCUUAAAAAACAUGCAAAGGGAGGUAUAUCUUUUUUCCUCAUUCCUUCUAAUUUUUCUUUUAUAUAAACAGACCCCAAAAGUGAGUACUGAUACAUAGCUCAAGCAUUCAUCAUAGUCAUGCAUUGAAAUUCAGAACAAUUAGAACAAACCAGGAUUAUUGAUCAUGAGAUAGUUACUCAUCCCAUCUGAAUGAACUUUUGGUUUCAGUAAAUUGAGUUGUAUAUAGAAUUCUAUAGUACCUCAGUUCACAAAUAAAAGGAAUUCUGACAUUUGCAACACAUGAAUAUUAUUUAGUAUUUUUUUAUACCAGUCAAGUUGAACCCUGGCACUGGUACAUAUUGAUUUAGAAUGGAAAAAUACUCUCAACAUCUAAUCCAUUAGAUGGUAAAAAAAAAGAAGUGAAUUCAGAUAUGAAAAAACUUGAGAAAGAAAAAGGCUUCAUAUUUACGAAGACUGGAAGCUCCUGCUGCGUAUAUACUUGAUACAGGAAGGAAAAAAUUAACACACCUGCACAAGCACACAACAGCCAUCACGGACUAAUCAUAGACUAAUGCAGCUGUGCAAAAUUAGUGUCCAAUUAAGGGGCUAGGGUUUAGAUUAGCACAUGGAAGGAGGGGAUUUUGCAAAUCUCGGCCAAAUUUGAGCUUUCCCCAAAUUCAGAAACCCUAAUUUGCUCAAUCAAAACUAAAUCCCAAACCAAGUCAUGAAUGAGUGGAUUAGUACCUGAUCCAGCAUCAGUGAUUUGGUGCCGCCGCUGCCAGGAGUUCCCCACUUCCCCUCUUGCACAUGCGUCCGCGCGCUGCCGACAUCCUCCUGUGCAGGCCGCCGUGGUGAGACCGAGGUCUGGCCUGGUCGCUGCUUCUGCCUUGGCUGCCGGCGUGAUGAAGGCUCACCACACCAUAGUGGAUCCACGACGCUGCGCCAUGGGCCGCCGCAUGAACAAGCCGCCGUGGCCGAUGUCGCCGCCGUGCGACUGAAGAGCACUGCACACGCUGUCUUUAGGAAGCCGGCGAUGAGCUGCUUGACGAGGCUUGGUCGCCGGUGGCCUGGCGUCCUUGCUUGGUGGCCGGCGGCCUAGCCUGGUGUCCUGCUAGAGCUUCGUUCGUGUAGGAGAGGAGUUGUUCGCGAGUCGUGCAGGGAGAGGAGGAGUCGCGAGGAGGCGCGCGUGCAUUAGGGAGAGGAGUCGCUGAGUGCGUGGGGAGAGGAGCCGCGCGGGACGGGCUGAGGCCUGAGGGUGAGGGAUGAGUUUGAUCCCAGCGUUUAUGACCGUUGGAUGGAAUUGAGUCAGUGGAAUGAGAGAUUAGAGUUAAUCUCGUCCCUUAAUUUCAAAAGAUACAGCUUUCUGGGUGUAUUUUUUUGGGUGUAAUUAGUGUAGCUUAUGACUGUAAUAGUAGGUUAUGGGGUACAUUUAGCUAAGUUCAGAACUGGUGGAUUAUAUAGUAGUGGAGAUCCACUGCACUACACCAUCACUUGUGUUUAUAUUGUGUUUUGGUUCUUCAUAUAUUAUACCAAAUCACAUGUAAAUUCAUAACUUUUUGAGAUCUAUAAUUUUCAUUUAGGAAGUUUCUCCAUCCGAGGUCGUUUACAAAAUUUGAAUUUCAAAUUUGAGAAAUUUAAACGUAGUUUUUGCAUGACAACAUGAUUUCAAAUCAAAAAGUUAUCAGCUACAAAGUUUCAUAACUUUUCAAGACCUACAAAGUUUAUUUAGGCAGUUUUUUCAUCUGAGGUAAUUUCAGAAAAAUCAAAUUUAAAAAUUUUUAAAUAAAGACGCAGUUUGGAAUGACAAGAUAAACUCAAAUCAAAAAGUUGUCAACUAUAAAAUUUCAUAACUUGUCAAGAUCUUCAAAGAUUAUUUUUGUUGUUUGGUCAAACUAUAAGAGAGAGAUGUAAAAUUUGUGAACAAAUAUUUUCAUUUUGUCAAAUGAAGAAAUAACCAAAAUAAAUAUUAUAGAUCUUGAGAAGUUAUAUAACUUUGUAGUGCAAAACUUUUUGAUUUGAAUUUGUUUAGGGCUUCAAAAUUUGAUUUGAAAUUUUUCUUUGUCGAGUGUUUUUUUUAUAUUCGGCAAAGAAGGUCUUUGCCGAGUGUCAAAAAAACACUCGGCAAAGCGGGUUCUUUGCCGACUGCCAAAAAAACACUCGGCAAAGAAUGUUUUUGCCGAGUGUCUGACGUGGCACUCGGCAAAGGCCAGUCUUUGCGAGUGCCUGUCCUUGGCACUCGGCAAAGGGUCGGGCGCUCGGCAAAGCGCGAGUUUCCUGUAGUGUUUCUUGUGUUCUUGUAGCCUCAAGGGAUCCAAUGAUCAUAUAUCUGAACUAGUUCUACCGUUACAUUACAAAAAUACAGAAAUAACAAUAUCUUAACACAAUACUUAUACUUAAGAGAGUUCAGAAAUAGAAACAUGAAACUUGUGAUGCAUUGCAUCAAAGCGAGAAAGGACAUACAACUUAUAAUUCCUUGCUAUCUACUAUGAAUCGGUUCACAAAUGUAUUCUGGAGUUUGAAAUCUAUCUCGAAUCAUGAAUUAAACAAAACCAUCAAAAUUAUCAAGAGCAACUCCAACAGAAAUACUUCAAAGAGGUAUUCGCCCUGGUCGCUUGAAUCAAGUCCACGCAGCUCAUGCUCGCCAUUGAUGCACACUGGAGUUGAUUAGUGCAUCACAAGGAUGUUAAAUCAGUGUUCUCAAUGGUGAACUCUAGGAGGACAUCUAUGUCGCUCUCCUAGCUUCAUCAACGAGAACAACCCCGAUAAGGUCCUGUGACUCCACAAGGCGCUGUACGGCCUGUGCCAGGGCCUGUGCACCUGAAACACCAAGCUGGACUACAGGCUGUUCUCCCUCUGCUUUUGGUGCAGCAAGAACGAGCAAGGGGUGUACACGCACGGAAGUGCCUCCAGGCGUUUGAUCGUCAGUCUCUACGUCGACGACCUCAUAGAUCACAGGAGGGCAUGACGCUGAGUUGAGAGUGUUCAAGGCUGAAAUGAAGGUGCAGUUCUUGAUGUGUGACCUAAAGAUGCAGGUGGGGCGGCGUUGGGCAGCCCACCCCACGUCCGCAUCAACUGCAACUGUUAUGUGGGUUGGAGCGGCAGCCCAAGUCACGCCACUCUCUGUCUACGGGUUACAGUGUCAGCCCAUAAAGUGCUACAUCGCAAGACUUCCUCGUCCAUCGUUGGCUCAAAGGCCUAUUUAAAUGAAAUGACUAACACAUCAUGAGCUUUCUGAAUCAGUUCAACUGGAAUGCUAAAACUUCAGGUCAUACUUCUUGCAAGCUGAGCAACAUUCAGUUUGCAGUUGAGUAUGUGAUAAUGUCCUCUUGUAGAUACGUAGAAAAUGCAAGCACAGGCAAACAAUCUCUGAAUGCCACACAAAGAGAAUAAUGAAAAUCGAAAUCAAUGUAAAAACAAAGACAAGCAUGCAUUUACUGAUUGAACUAUUUGGCUAUACAAACAGCAUCAGUGUGGGGACCUUUAUAGGACAAUGGUUAGUCAUUUAACCCCUGUAGAAUUAAUCUCAAAAGAAGAUGAGAAAUCCUGGCUGAAGAGCAGCUGUCCACAUAAUCUGGAACUCAGAAAACCAAAAUGUAAUUUUCCAGAUGCCCAAAAUAGAGCUCUGUAGAUGUAUUUAGGACCCAUUUGGAAUGCAGGGAAUUCACAGAAAUCAGUUUAAUUUCACAUAAAAACAUAGAAACAGGUAAAACAUCCCACAUUCCGAACAGGGCCUAAAUUCUUCAGAAGGAUCAUCAUCCUUGUGCAUGAUUGAACACAUAGGCUGCACAUGUACGAAUAUGCAGGAAAUACUGCAUGAGGCAAUCCUUGUGCCUUCUUGUUGAGCUGCUCUAAAAGCCUAUUAGCUUCCCUGAGGUCCUCAAAGGCACCAUUGCCACACCUACUGUAGGCAUCUACGACUUGUUCUUGAAAGUCUAUAGCAAGUUUGUAGCUGCAACCAAAGUAGCGUUAAAUGUAAAAAUGGUAUCUAUGAUGUAAAAACAGUUACUCUACAAGGCAUCAUGCUACACAUUUCCACAAAACAAAUGUUGCAUUCAGUUGAAUAUAUUGACAUUAUAAAACGCAAAGCCACGGUGAGUCACUAUACUAAAAUGUGUUUACAGCAAAAUAAAAGUGAUUAUAAUUACAAAAAUAUGGGCAAAGAAGUUAGGAUCACAGGUGCACCAUCCAGGCUCUAUUAUAUUCAUGUGGGUAUUAUUUAGAGCAUUGCAUUGACAUUAGUUUCUAGGUCAGUGGGUCAUUUCUUAGAACAUUAGAUUUUUUCAUUGGGUUAAAAUCCAUCCUCACAUGUAUGUAAAUAACAAAGGAUUGUAUCUAAUCAGUUAAUCAACAUCCUAUUACAGUAUUACCCUAUACCAAUUUUAAACUCUAUUCAAUCAUUCUAUUCUAACAGAUAAACAGGCAAGCAGUGGUCGAGUUUUUUUAACAGAUAAUUAGCAAAUAUAAGGUUAAGGUCAUGUAGGCCAUAAAAUAUUGGGCAAUGACUCAAUGGACACUUGGAUAGCACAAGAGCACUAAGGCCCUGUUUGGAAGCAUCCAGCCAACUAUUAGCUGCUAAAAUUUAGCUGGGGUGGAUCCAAACGGCCUCAGCUAAGUGUUAGCUGGGCACUCAGCUAACAACUACUACCUCUGUCCCAGAAAGGGUUUGAAGUACAUGCAGUAAAUGUUUGUAAGAUGUAGAUAGAUGAGCAAAUGAAACUGAGCUUAAAUAAUCUUCGAUGAGAAGAUGCAUCCAAGUUAUUACCUUGUUCAAUGUUAAAUUCUAAAUUCUGCAGCACUGAAGAUAUAAUGUUAAAUUCUAAAUUCUGCAUUUUCUAUGCCACUGCCACACAGGAUAUAAUGCACUAAUGCUAAAUUCUGCAGACAUAAAAGGCAUUACCUUGUUCAAUGUUUCUUCUAUCUAAAUACAAUCUUCAUCAUCCGCAGCUAUAAUUCCAGCUAUAUUAUCAUGCGUGCUAUCUAAAAUUUAGAAAAGGGAUAAAAAGUUAGUUUACAUCAUUAUUUUGCAUACAAACUUAUUAUGAACAAAAUAAUGGUAUUAAGAUUUACCCUCCGAUCUUAACCAAUCCUGAAGACAAAUGAGAGCUUCAAUUGUUUCACUCUUGAGCCUGCUUCUAUAAUCACUCACUAUUCUCUCUCCGGUAGAAAAUGCAGACUCUGAGGCCACUGUGGAUGCAGGUAUAGCUAAAACAUCACGUGCCAUGCAUCCAAGUACUGGAUAUCUUGUUGAGUGUAUCUUCCAAUACUGCAAGAUAUCUAGAUCAACUGUCACAGGCACUUUUUCUUCUUCGAAGUACUGAUCCAACUCAUUAACUUUUUUUUCUCUGAGCACUUUGAUGUUGGGCCCAAUCUGCCCAUGGGUCUAACUCAUUCAGCUCAACAUUACUGACACUAUGUUCCUCCGCAAUGACUGAGUCACCAACUUUUAAGGAAUAUUCAGCAAAUAGUUUUCUAAAUGUCAUCUCCACUUUAGAUAGAUAUCUGAAUGCUUCUAUCCCAAAUCCUUCCUUUAAGCGAAACUCUAGAAAUUUCAACUUAAAACGAGGAUCAAGAAUAAUAGGAAUGCAGAUAUUUAAAUACGACAAAUCCCAAUACUUCUUCAAUUUUUGCUUCAUCUCAUGAACCAUUGUUCUUAUAACCAACUCAGAAUUUGAGGCUUCUUUAUCUAAAUCUUUCUUUACCUCCCAGAUUUGAUGAAAGUAGUGAAUUGAAGUUGGAUAAUUUGAGCCAGAUACUUUCAUAGUGGCAUCAUAAAAUGGUUCUAACAAGGUACAAAGCUUCUUUGCCAACUUCCAAUCCUCAGUCGAAGGCUCAUGUAUGUACUGUGGGUCAUUUUGCCUUAAAGCUUCAUAUGCUCUCCUAUACUUCAAAGAUGUCACAAGCAUAUGGUAAGUUGAAUUCCACCUGGUGACAACAUCGAGUGGAGGGCGUUUCUCAACAGGAAUAGAACAUUUCUCAACCAUAAGUUCAAACCUUUGUUUGCGAGCUUGUGAGCUUUUCACAUAUCUAACACUCUCUCUAAUGUUCUUGGUAGCACUACUUAUGGCCUUAAAACCUUCUUGGACGAUGAGAUUAAACACAUGGGCUGCACAACGACAAUGAAACAACUUCCCUUUGCGAAGGAGUUGACCCUUUGAGACAAGGUUUUCUUUUAAAGUUGUCACAAAGUUAUUAUUUACUGAUGCAUUAUCCAAUGUGAUAGCAAAAAGUUUGCUUUCUAGAUUCCAAUCUUGCAAGGUUUCCAACAUAGUAUUGAAUAGGUUCCAACCAUCAUGCGAGGUCUCAACUAAAGCGAACUUUAUGAUCUUCUUAUGUAUCUUCCAGUUCUCACUAAUGUAGUGACAAGUCACACAUAAAUAGCCCAAUGUUUGGUUUGAGGUCCAUAAAUCAGCAGUAAGAGAAACCCUAGAGACCGAAUUUUGUAGCACAUGCCGUAGGACUAUUUUUCCUUCCUCAUAUGAACUAAUGCAGUCAGACCUAAUAGUGGUUCUAGAAACUUGUUUGAACCACGGAUUUAGAGCAGCCACAAAUGUUCUGAACUUUGGAUACUCUACCAGACUGAAAGGCAACUCAUGCAUCACUAUUAAGUUCACUAAUUCUUGGCGAGCUACUUGUUGAUCAAAUUUCCAAUUUUUCAAGGAAGCAUCAGUUAAGGGCACGGUUGAACUCAGUUGAGAGACCAUUUCUUCUAACCUAGCCUUUCCCUCACAAACUUUGAUGUGUCUACCACAUGCACUUGUACCAACAUCUCUGGUUGCUUUGAACACUUGGUUGAAAUGAAUGCAUUGAGCUUCUACUAAGAUAUCAUUAUCAUAUAUUGCCUCAAAAUGCUGCCAUAUAUGUGAGGUAAGUUUGCGUCUUUUACUUCUAUGUGAAGAUCCUAAUGGUUGGCAUAGAAAUAAUAUUGUAAGACAAAUAGUAAAACAAAUAAUAUUCUAAUAGCAGCAGCAAUAGUAAAACAAAGAAAAUGGUAGCGAAGACAUAACAUCAUCACUUACCAGCAGCAGCAGUAGUUCUUUUUCCGAGAAAAGGAGAUAUCGGCGAUUGUGAUUUCGAGCUUGCUGUCCCUUGUGACGACACUAUCACUGUUGGUGAGCUGAGGUUGGCAGAUAACAACAUUUUCACGCCUAUUGACCUUGCUGGUAUAAGUGGUGACAUGGUUACAACUGGCGACUUCAACCGCUUUGAUGGCAAUGCAUUUGCUUGCUUCAUAGCAGGGUCCUUUUGCUUAGCCAUUGAUAAGGAUGUCGUCCCCCCUUUGAUCUGCAUAGACAACAUUAUCAAUUAAUCCACAACUACUUGCUUCACAGCAGGGUCCUUGCUGUUGUUACUGCUCUCUCUAGAACUACUGCAGGUUUCCAUUUCACUCAUACAAGCUAAUUAAUAAGCUGCAAGAUCCAAACCUGUUGCUUCCUCUUAGCCUUCGCUUCAAUGUGUCGCUGAACCCGACCUGCAAGGGUGGUAGCAGCAGCUGUGGAUGAGUCACCGUGUCACUGAUCCUGAUUUGCAGGGGUGGCAGCAGCAGCUGUGGGCGACACCACAGAGGAACUCGGCAGUUGAGGAACAAUGAACAAGGAAAAUCUUGUCGGUCGAUCGGGAGAAUAGAGGCGUAUGGCUUCGUGGCUUGACAAGUCAGCACCGGCGCCAGAAGGUGGCAGUGGCAAUAGUGAUGCCAGUGAAUGCAUCGACAUCACUGGUGCAUUUGCCUGCUUCACAUCAGAGACCUUCCGCUUAGCUGUUGAUGAGGACGCCUUUUCCUCUUUAAUCUGCAUAGACAAAAUUUCAAGUUAGUAACAUUACCAUAUUUCGACAGCUUCGCACCAUAUUUCAAAACAGCUGAAUUGAAAAGCUUAAUAAAAUUCUUUCACCCCAUCGGAGAAAGAUGAAAAGGAAAUGGAAAAGCUUAAUAUUCAGUACAAUUCUGUACUAAUAUAACAUUCAGUACAAUUCUGCUAUAGUUACAAGUGUGCUAUAAUACCUAAAAAUUAGCAAACAAAUGGUUCAAAGAAGAGGAAUCAGGCAAAUAUUUUAUUGUCGUCCAAACAAGGAAAUCUCAACGAUGUAGAUUGUAGGAGUAGUAGACAUCUUCGUUUAGAAAACACUAGCCAUUUUCAGCGGCACAUGAACCUGCUCUACAUUCAGCAAGUAACAAAAAAAAUUCUCAUAUUUUGGCACCCAGAUCACACUAGCGUGAAUCAAAUCUCAUGUCGGUGGAGGGAAAAUCACAGAACCAGCACGUCCGCGGUGCCGCGCGCACAUCAGAGAAGAAAAUCCCAUCUUUGCCGUAGAGGAACAACCACGGAACCCCGGGUCCUCCAAAUCCCAACCAAAUCCGACGCCACUUGCGCUUCUCCAUGAACCGCUGCAGCAACGGUUUCCUCGACACCGGCAGAUGGUCUACCGCGGAGACCAGGCCAUCUGCGGGAGAUCUGAAGGAGACAGGUAGCCACCUACCAUUCCUUUCCUGGACGAGAUUUGGGCAGUGGAGGCAGCGGCGGCGCCGGCGCUGGUACUGGAGGUGGCGGCACCACUGGUGCAGGUGAAGAAGGCAGCAGCGCCUGUAUUGGAGGUGGAGGAAACAGCAGCGACGCCAUUAGUGGAGGUUGCGGUGGCAGCGACGGUGGUGUCGGGAAGCCAUGAGACCGGCGGCGGCGAUGCUAGCGAUAUUGAAUGCCUCGUGAAUUCGUGAUAGACGUGGGUUACCCCUGGAUUACGCGGUCCAAAUGCUUAGCCCACUUAGUCUUAGUGGGUUAGGUUUUCAACCCCAUAUGGGCUGGUGGUGCAGACAGCCCAGCGGGCUGGAGCGGCAGCCCGCCCCACCUUGCAUUACCUCGGCCGCUGGGCGCUAGGAGUUAAUACUUCAAACAAAAUGUGAGCCAUUCAUUUUUUUAGUUUUUUAAUUAAUUAAUUAACCUAAAAAAGGAGAUAGUAUCAAAUCUCCUCAUCAUGGAAGAAACAGAAACGGGGGAGCAAGCCCUUUCCUUUUGGUCCAUGUGGGAUAUGGCAGCGGUUGCAAUAUUUACCAUACUUAGCUCAUCAAAUUAUGCCAAUUAAAUUGUCCCACGUAUAUAUGUUAGGUCAAAUCUAAAUUAUAUGACAUGCAUUAUGCCAUAUUCAAGACUUUAUCUAAAAUUUUCCUUAUUUAUCUUAUAUUAUAAAAUAAAAAUUUAAUAAAAAUAUAUUCUAUCUAUUACUUUUUAUAGAAACUAAUAGAUGAUCAUAACCAUCCAAUCUAAUUAAAUCAAAAUAUAGCUUAUAGUUAUUUGCGAGUAUCACAAUUAACAAACUCUUGACAUUUAUUUGUCAUGGCCAUCAUUAAUUCAUAGUAAUACUCAAUAAUGUUCUAUCUACUGUGUUUGACAUACGCAUGGCAUUAGGCUAAGUUUCUAAUGAGAGCAAACUAUAUUCCCAGUAAUUGAGAAGGCAUUUUGGGAACUAUAUAGCCUUUUUAGGAUUAGAGAAGAAAUAAAGUUUGGAAGCAACACAAUGUUAGGGCAUGUACAACCCAGAGACAAGGUGUCAUCUCCAAGUGCCUCGAAUUAGAUGUACAGACAGCUAAAAAGACAAAUCAUACAACCAUAACCAUAGACAAGGGUCGUGUGCAGCUGUUUAAUGUUAUGCAUGUAGCCACAAGAUCAAUCAUGACUAUUAUUUUGUGUACCACCAUGUUGUUAUUUGAUAUAUAAUAGACCAACACACUAGCAACAUUUAUGGCCAUUGAUCAACAUAUCACAUGACCGGAUUUGCCAAUCUGAACCAAAAAGCAAGCUGCUCCAAAUUGAACUGAAACUUGACAGGAAUUGCAUGUAUAGAAAUACAAUGGCAAGGAAGCAACGUGGAUAACUGCAAUCACUGAAUGUCGUCCUUCAAUUCCUCUCCAAGCUCCCUUAUAGUUUCUUCUAGCAAGGUAGAUGAUAGCAUCAUAGAUAAGCCUUUUGAUGUACAGUGCAGCAAACUUCAGAUAACAGUAUAUGGAAAAGAUGACAAUAAGCUUCAACAUAUCUGUUUAGAUAGUUUCAACAAACAGGUGGAAAAGAUGGCAGCAGAUAGUGCACCAGACAAAUUAUAAAGUUUCAGAAAAAAAACAUGCCUUCAGAACAAGUACAGUAAGAUCAGCGUACCUAUUUAGAUAGUUUCUGGAAAAAAGGGGAUGAUACACUAAAUAGGAUGAUAUCUACUGAAAAUUAGUAGCAUUACCACAUAUAAAGGCACAUUUCAAAGAGCAUUUUAAUUGACAAACCUUCAAAUCAUCUAAUAUAAGGCACAUAUGCAUUAGGCCAGGAGCCUGAUUUUUCUGCUGAUCAAAUUCAGACAAAGUUUUACUAAACUAGGCAAAUAAUUGUCUACUAUCAGAUAAUAAGAACAUUUCUGAUAUAGCUGUUGCCACUAGUACGUGUUGAUGUCAAAAGAUAAUUGUCAACAAGAGCUAACACAACGAGAUUAGAAACUAGAGAUGAUUGAACCAUGCUGUCGAAGUUGGUGAAGGGAGGAAUGGAAUGAGAUUACCAUGAUUCACUGUCGGGCGCAUCCCACCAUGCUGCUGGAGUUGGAGUUGGUGAUGAGGGGAAUGGAACGGGGAAGCCACCUCCUUAAGAUCCAUCUAUGGAGGAGGCUUCCAUCACCAAACUCUUGCUUGCAAAAGCGGCGAUGGGUGUUGGCAUUGUGUGCAGGCAAGAAACAGCAUGGUGGGCAAACGCCACCACCACCGCCGCUCAGUCGUGCCCGCCAUUGAUGGUGCAGACCGGCUCUUCAGCCCCUAUAGUCAGCCGCCGCGACCAAGGACUGGAACCGCGCCCUCGACGCGCCAAAACUGGAAUUGCACGUGCACACACUGGAUCCAUGUCCUCAGUUGGAGACGCUGCCGACCCGUACAACGGUGCUGAAGAAGGAGUCGCGACCUCGGGCAACGGUACAUCCCUGUCGUCUCGUGAGACGACGCCAACCCCGUCCCUAACCAUCGGGGGGGGGGGGGGGGGGGGUGUUCUUUGUGAAAUUGACAUCAAGGAGACAGGAUCAAGAGACCUGUUGUUUAUGCCCUUAGCAAACACAGGUAGUUCACACAUGUGAAUGCCGCAGAACUGCACGGACCAAUAAAUCGUCAUGAUCUUAAAGGCAUUCUAUAUUAAAGGGCUCGAGGGUGUGUCCAUCAGCGAGACAACAUAUAUACAUUACAGCCUUUAUGCACAGGAUGAAGAGUAUGUGUAUCAUGGGAUUGGGAGGCACCAGGAUUCUUAGCUACAUGAGAGUGGAGGGAAGUCCCGGGCUGUCCAACCAGUGCAGCUAAGCUUUAUGGUCCACAGCAGCAAGAUCUCCCAUCACACUGCGUCAAGUCAUGUUGGUCUCCCUUCUGCUCACUGUAAUGCUCGGCUGCUUCGGUAGUCGGUACAUGUCGUCCAACCUCUAAAUCAGAAGCAAACGAUUGAACAAAAUUAUCUAGGGCGGUGACAUUUACAGAUCUCAUAUUAGGUAGCAAGAUUUCCACUACCGGAAUCCCCUUGAAUGCCGAGUGUCCGCGAGUUUGCCAAGUGUUGAAUAUGUUCAAAAUUCAGAUGCACAUUAUAAAGGCCGACUUCUGAUGGAGCGAAGCGGAGGUCCGUUGCCGGAGGCUUGGGUAAAUUAGGGUUCCACCAAAUAUAUGAUCUUGUAAGCCGCCGCACGUUGUUGUAACCCAACUCUUGAUAAUAGUGACGAGUGUUUGCUGACUAGCGCCCGUGGUUUUUCCCCUUCGCAUUAGAGGAGUUUUCCAUGUCAAAUCUUGUGUCUCCGCUGUGUUUUGAUCUUGUCUUCUUCGUUGUUUAUCUGGCGUCAUUCACAACACCAAGUGCAUUCUGUCGUGCACUCGGCAAACAACCUCUUUGCCGAGUGCCUGGGAAGAACACUCGGCAAACAAAAAACACACGACAACAUUGAUGUUUGCGGAGUGCCACAGGCCAGGCACUCGGCAAACCCGAGUCUUUGCCGAGUGCUAACUCCAAGGCUCUCGGCAAACUGUUGGUGGGGCUAACUAUGUCAUCUCUUUGGCGAGUGUUUUUGUAUAGCACUCAGCAAAGACAAAUUAUUCUGAGUGUUUUUUUCCUAGCACUCGGCAAAAAAAAAUUAGCUUCUGUCCUCCAAACUUUUUAUGCUCAGCUUGUAUAGUGCAAGAUACUUCAUGUUUCAAUAUGAUUAAUUUAUCGAUCUAUUUACUAUAUUUAGUUGAUUUAUUUCAUUUGAUUGAAUUUUUGUUGAUAAAUCAAAUUUCAACUACGAGUGAUUCGAAUAAGUGCUUAAAAUGAAUCAAAAAAUAAUAUUCAUGAUAUUGAGAUACUAAUAACGCUAAAUGUAGGGAAUGAAAGAAAAUUUCAAAUAUCUUGCUCACAAAACUUGACGAGCAACUAGGGGUCAAAUGAUUUUUAAAUUAUAUAAAAUACAAACAAAGUUCAAAAAUCAUGAGAUUUGUCAAGAUGUCUUCACAUCAUGCGUGCGGGCUACGGUAAAAAUUUGAUAAUGUUUCGCACAAGUUGUCACGUAGCAUGCUUACAAACGGAAGCAUCUCCGAACAAGACUCAUAUACUUCGGACACUAAUGGUAAUAUUUUGAGGCAAUGCAAUUUGUCGAGUUGGGAUUUUAAUUCGAAACAUUUUCCAUAGGUAAUAUAUGACAUAGAUUGAUUAAUGCCAGGUUUUGGUAUUUUUUGGAUUCUCUUCGUAUUUUUAUAAUUAUAACCACAUAAAAUUAUAGAUUUUUAAUUACAUUGAAUUUUAGAUAUAACCGUAUGAAAUAAUGAUAAAAUAUUCACAGAAGCAUCCAAUAUACACUUACGAGUGAAUUUCACAAGAUAUAUAUAAUUUAAAUUUGCCAAACACGUUGUCGAAAAGAUAUCAAAAGGGAUUUAUUAUUUUUUUGAAAAAAAUAUUUGUCGAGUGCUACACAAGGCACUCGGCAAACAAUAUAUAUUCUUUUACAAAAAGGUUUGCCGAGUGCCUCCGCUAUGGACACUCAGCAAACAAUUUUCUUUCUUUUUAAAAAAAAUGUUCGUCGAGUGUUCUAGAUCGCGCACUCGGCAAAAAAAUAUUUGCAAAAAAACCCUAGUGCCGCCCACCAUCACAAUUUCGCUUUUUUUUACCGAAGGUCAUGGCGGCACUCGGUAAAAUUUGGCUUUGCCGACACAUGGUUUGCCGAGUGUUGUAUGCCGUGGGCGGCACUCGGCAAACUGUUUGCCAAGUGUCUUUUGGCCUUUGCUGAGUGCCUGUGGCACUCGGCAAACAAGCCAAUCCAGAGAAGUUUAGCUGAGGGAGAAUAAUAAGGGAAAAUAAAAUGACCUAAAAAAUUUGUUAGUGCCUGGUCGCUUGCUCAACGUUUGCAUUCUUCGUAUCUUUGAUGAUCCACCACAGUACAUGGCCCUGACCUUACGUUGUCCCUUGAAGAUAUGGGCCUAUCCUUUGUUGUUGGAGCCUUGCACACGCGUGAUCAAACUAGUACUAGUGCAUAAGAAUGCAUAAUGUCUCAUUAAGACAUUGAGAGAAUUUUAAAUGAUGAAUGAAGUAAGAAAAUGAGAGAAAAUAUUAAAGAUAUUUUGGUCACAUGUAUUUCGAUUGAAGCAAAUGCUAUCCUCACUAACUACUUGAGAAGGAUUUGUUCUACAACAUGAGUUCUGGAACAUUGUCGCAGUAGUGCACAAAUUUCAUUGGUUACAGCAAUAAAAUUUCGGACACAGCACUAAUGAUCGUCUAUAGCAGUUACAUGUAACGAUUGCACGACUGAUACAUCAUCAUGACCAUUAAAGAGAGGAAGAGUGUAUUCGCAGAGAGAGAGAGAGAGUGUGUCGACGCAGAGAGCUUCAGAGUGUUGAUGAGAAGUGAAGUGACUGCGGCCUUGAGAGAGUGAGGAUGCGCAUUUGUGCAAGAAUGUAUCAAGGGAUUCGUGGAUAUAGGCCUUGUUUACUAAUUUUUAAGAUUUCUCAUCGCAUCGAAUUUUGCAGCACAUGGAGCAUUAAAUAUAGAAAAAAGAACUAAUUACACAGUUUGCCUGUUGUGACACGAAUCUUUUGUGUCUAGUUAAUCUAUGAUUGGAUAAUAUUUAUUAAAUACAAACAAAAAUACUACAUUGUCCACUUUGUAAAAAAAAAAUGCAACUAAACAAGGGUUUAGGGUUUGCAAAAAAAUUUGCAUCUAAACAAGGCCAUAUACUGUCAGCGUAGUUGUGGCUGCUCAUUCUAAUGUCCUGUUUUGUGGGAUGAUAAAGAUCCCAGUGCUGCAGAAUUCACUGUUCUCUGAUGUAUGCCUGCCCAGACGAUAAUUGGUCAUAAACAUAAACAUAAUGAACAGAAAUGCUCGAUAGGGAACAAAAACUUGAAAGUGCUAGAUAGAGAAGAAAACUGGCUUCACCUGCUCCCCGUCUGUUCGCCGGUUCAAUCAAUGUGGGUGGAGCUCGAGCCACAAUUGUACGUCUACGGUGUGCUAACGAUAGGAGAGUAGUUGAAGCUGGAGCACCGAGAAGCUGAGCGAGAGAGGGUCGGACGCCUGGUCCAUUUGCCACAUCACGUCCGCUGACGAUGUUGGGUUGCCAUCCGCUCACCGUACGUAAAGCCUGGUUGAUUUGGCAAGAUUAGUUUGCUCUAAAAUCAGAAGCAUGUGUUAAAGAAUAUUAGGAGUCUGGCAGAGGGAGAGUAAGGAAAAAUAAAGUAACAAGCAAAGUUUAGUAACGCGUGGUGGUCUUGCUUAACAUUGCCUUCUUCAUCAGUGUCAGCCAACAACCUGGCCUUGAUCUGUGCAAAAUACUGAGUACCCUGGCAUAGGACCCUAGCUGAGCAUGUGAAAAUUUUCCAAAAUACAGAGUACCCUGGCUGCCUGGCAUAGGAGCCGAGCUCGUCUUGUUGAACUGUUCAUGGUGGUAGAAGCUGUGCGAUGCAAGGAAGCAUUCUAGUCCGAAGUUGGUUUUGCGAUGGCCGAGUCCAAAGAGACCUCACCCAUAUCGUUGUUGAUCAGAUGGAGAGUCUAUAUAGUAUGCCCCUGAGCAAAUUAAGGUGGAGUAGGCAUGGCGUACGUCCGCUGGGCACUUGGCCGCACGGCCGUGCUUUUGUAGCCGCCAGAGCAAUAGCAGAUGGUACCAUGUCGAGACCAAUGGUUCUCAUCAGCAUCGACGGAGCGACUGGCUGCGGCAGAGCGGCGGGCAGCAGCAGGGCAGCCGCGGCCCACUCCAUGGGCGUAACGAAUGACAACGUUAACGUUUGACUUCUCAGAAAUCUAGUAGGAGGAAACUGCCGGAGCCGCCCACAGGGGACGUGCACGCCAAGAGCCUCCGCACCAGAUCCGUGCCCUGCGCUGCAGGAGACAUGAGAGAAGGAGAGAGCAACUUCUGAAGCACGAAAUCAUGCAUCUACCAUUUAAAUUUAAUCUAAAACUAGUUCUUGGCCCACAUAAUUUUAGUUCCGACCCACAACUUAAGUUCCUCCACAUCGGUUCUUCUUAUCUUAUAACCUUUAGAUCUUCUUCAAGAAUGGCUCUAAUUUAUUCUAAGCACCGUAAAAUUUCUCUUAAAUAUAUAGUCAACUUGGUCCUUUCCAAUGAAUAGCAUAGUAAAAAUUCAACAAAAGAUGGUCAGAGAUGACCAGACUCUCAAAUAGAAACUGUUAAAAAGUCAGAAAAGACGAUUAUCUUAUACUCUUAUAAAGCUAAACCCCACUAGAUAUUUCUCUCAAUAUGCAAGCUAUUCAUAUCAACAAUCCACUAAAACUUGCAAUUAUAGCCAACUAGCACAUGCAAUUAUGAUAAGUCAUCUCUUCAUCUACUAACAUACAUUUAGUUGUUCAUAUUGAUGUGUCAAACUAUUCAACAAAAUUAAUUUAAGAUAAUUUUAUUCAUAUAAAUAUAUAUAUAGUAUAAUUUCUUUUUAAACUAUCUGAAAUUCGCGCAGCAACGUGCAGGGUAUUCGCCUAGUUACCAUGAUUGAAGGAACCAAACUCGCACAAUUACCGAGAAAUGGAAAAGGAACAGAGAGCAACACCAAUGGUAGGGUUUGUUUAAUAUAUACUGCCUCCAUCGCAGAUUAUAAGUUAUUCCAAAAAUCUUAAAGAGUCAAAGCAUCUUAAGUUUAACCAAAUUUAUAUUAUAGAAUAAUAACAUUUAUGAUAUAUACUAAUAUCAUUUCUUCAUUAAUUAUAUUCUUAUAGUAUAUUUAUUUGAUGUCAUAAAAUUUUGUAAUUUUUUUUAUAAUUUUGGUCAAACUUGAGAUGUUUUUUUAGAUAAUGGAUAGUUCGUAUCCAGCUUCAUCUAUCCGCAGAUAGAAUCAGGCCAAUUAUUACAAAGUUUCACCUGAGGGCAAACUCACAUGCUGCAAGCAAGGUUUACAACCAACCAAACGGGUAACCAAAACAAAAUAAGGUUCAGACUAAGCAUGACCAAUAUGUCUUGUUGAUAACCAUCCAUUGAAACUAAAAAAUUGCAAAGCUGAUGUCUCUAAGUGUUGUCCUGCGAUAAUCAGUUGAUCCCGCAGAUCAUCAUGCCGCUGCAAUCUUGCCCAUUGCCGAAGCCAAUGCGUUCCCCUAAAAAGAACCUGCAAAAAAGAUUUUGGUCUGCAUUUGUCAAAAACCACCUCGUUCCUGGUUAUCCAAAUUGCCCAACAGAGUGCAGAUGCUGCAGUUAAUAACAAUGAAUUAUACUUUUUGGUUGCUACUUUUGACCACCUAAUAAAAAGGUCAUUUAUGUCACUAGGGGUGAAAUUCCAAAAAGUAUAUGUACAGCACGUCAUAAGAAUUUGGAAUAAACACAGUCUAACAAAAGAUGUUGUAUGGAUUCUGGAGAGUGACGGAAGCAACAUUUUAUAUCCCCAUUCCAGUUUCGCCUAACUAAGUUAUUCUUAGUUAAGAUCACAUCUUUCUUUAGAUACCACAUGAAAAUUUUUAUUUUCAUAGGUAUUUUAAUUUACCAUAAAUCUUGUGACACUCUAACCCCAUUAUUAAUUAACACAGCAUACAUAGACUUACCGUAAAGCUUCCAGAUGCAUUCAAGCUCCACAAAAAGAAAUCUUUUUUCUUUAGUAAGUUAAUAUUCUAUAAAGAGGCAACAAUUUUGUACCAGUUUGUUAGGUUUGCCCCCACUAAAUUUCGUCGAAAAGAAAUAUUUAGUGGUGAAGAGCUAAUCACUUGUGCCACAAAUCUUGUUUUCUCCUUACUAUACUAAACAACGCAAGAAAUUUAUCUGUAAGGGGUUUAUUUCCUAACCAAGUGUCUAUCCAGAACCUAGUUUGAGACCCAUCUCUCACUUUAAACGAGCCAAAGUCCAUGAAAGAGUCUUUAACAUUCAUUAAACUUUUCCAAAAAUGAGAGUCUAUUGGUUUUUUAACACAGCUUCCUAAAGUCUUAUCUUUGAUAUAUUUAUUCUUUAAAAGUUCCUGCCACAUCUUCAUUCAACAACUUAAAGAACCGUUUACUAAGCAAGCAUUUGUUUUGUAUUUCCAAGUUUUUUAUGCCUAAACCCCCUGUUCUUUGGGUUGACAUAAAACUUUCCAUUUGGCUAAUCUAUAUUUCCGUUUAUGUUGGUCACUUUGCCAAUAAAAGCGUGACCUAAAGUAGUCUAUCUUUUCUAAAACGUCUUUCGGCAUUUCGAAAAAAGACAUCAUAAACAUCGGUAAACUUGAGAGCACCGAGUUUAACAAAACAAGUCGUCCCCCCACACAAAGCAUUUUGCCUUUCCAUCCACUAAGUCUCUUUUCGAUCCUAUCCUCAAUUGUUUUCCAGUCUUUAUUGUUUAGUUUCCUAGUAUUCAUAGGUAAACCAAGGUAUCGAAAGGGGUAAUUACCAAUCACGCAUCUGAAAGUUUGCGAAUAAAACAUCUCAUGUUCUUUUGCUUUGCCAAAGCAAAAUAUUUCACUUUUGUGAAAAUUUAUUUUAAGCCCCGAUAGUUGUUCAAAGGUGCUAAGCAAAAGUUUCAUAUUCAUAGCUUUUUCAGCAUCGUGGCUCAUGAAAAUUACUGUGUCAUCCGCAUACUGAAGGAUAGACAAACCAUCAUGGAUUAGAUUAGGAAUAACCCCUUCGACCUGCCCCACCUCCUUUGCUCUAGUGAUCAGUAUGGCCAACAUGUCAACCACUAUAUUAAAUAAUAUAGGGGACAUGGGAUCACCUUGUCGUAAGCCUUUUCUUGUUUGGAAGUAGGAACCUAAUUGAUCAUUAACCUUAAUAUUGACAUUACUCCCUUGAGUGAAACUUUCCACCCAUUCACACCAUUUUUGUGAGAAGCCUUUCAUCCUUAGCGUUUGUUGUAGAAAACUCCAUUUAACCUUAUCAUAUGCCUUUUCAAAGACUAUUUUAAAGAUGACCCCAUCUUUUUUUUAGAGUGAAGUUCGUGUAUCAUUUCAUGAAGUAUAACUGCACCCUCCAUGAUAUUUCUUCCUGGUAGGAAAGCUGUUUGAGUCGGUCUAAUUAUUUUUGUGCUAUGGUAGAUAGUCUAUUGGUUGCAACUUUAGUAAAGAUUUUGAAAGAAACAUUCAACAAACAAAUAGGCCUGUAUUGUUGAAUUACUUUCGCAUCCUUCUUUUUAGGUAAAAGAAUUAUGGUUCCAAAAUUGAGACGAUUUAGUGGGAGUGUUCCCUGAUGGAAAUCCAUGAACAGAGCCAAUCUUUGAUUAAAUUCCAGAAGACCUGAUAAAAUUCUGGAGGGAAACCAUCUGGACCAGGUGCCUUAUUAUGCUCCAUUUGGAAAAUCGCAACCCUCACCUCCUCUUGUGAGAAGGUAUCUGUUAAAUACUCAUUUUCUAGAGUAGAAACCUGUGGAAUAUCAACUGUUUGUGACUCAUCCAGUGUAACAUUAGAGUUCUCUGAUGGACCAAACAAGUUCUUAUAAUAUUUGGUGAUAUGCCCUUUGAGUUGAGCAUCACCACUUAUUAUGUUAUUCCCAUCUUCCAACUGGAAAAUACAAGUUUUCCGAUGUCUACCAUUAGCUAGCAGGUGAUAGUAUUUUGUAUUUGCAUCGCCUUCCAAAAGAUGUUUGACUUUAGCCCUCUAGUACCAUUUAAGUUUCUCCUCUCGAAGUAACUCUGCCAGUCUUUCAUUUAGCACAUGUUUUAGAUCUAGUUCUAAUCCAUUAAGGGUGGCAGAUUCUGCUUUCUUAUCCAGUUCAUCUAGUUUAUUUAGAAUGGUUGUCUUUUCUUUCUUGUAAGCACCAGUUUCAUUUUUUGCCCAUCCUCUGAGGUAUUGACGAAGCCUUCUUAUCUUAGCUUGCCACCUCUCUAUAGGUGAGCCAUCAACUAAUGUACUUUGCCCCACAUCACUAACCAUUUCACAAAAUCCAUCCCUCAGCAACCAACCCAAUUCAAACUUGAAUUGAUAUUGAUAAGAUGAGGACGGAUUAUUUGUGGAGAAAAGGAGAGGUGUGUGGUCAGAGAUCUCCCUAGUCAAAGCAUUUACAGUGGUAAGCGGGUACUUAGUUUCAAAAUCUGUGCAAACUAAGACCCUGUCUAAUUUUUCAAAAGUUUGAUUCUGUAAAUGAUUAGCCCACGUGAAUUUUCUCCUGACAUUUCUAUUUCUCUAAGAUUUAAAGAAUCAAUCACCGCAUUAAACAAAAAAGGCCGACCUAUCAUUAUAAAUGUCAUUGUUUUUCUCAUCUGGUCUUCGAACAAUGUUAAAGUCACCACCUAUGACAAUAGGUAAAGCUUCGUUUGAACAUACACGUACAAUUUCAGAUAAGAAAUGUGACUUUUGAUCCAACUGUGCUGGUCCAUAAACCGAAAUCAGGUUAAAUUUAAAAUCAGCUUCCCUAUGUCUAACCUUGAACCGUAUAAAAAAAUCCCCUUCCUCGAUUUCCCCAAUAUGAAAAGAUAAUAAAUGUAUACCUAGAAUCAUGCCACCAGACCUACCUUGCGGAGCCAUGCAAUGCCAAAGAAAAUCUCUGCCUACGCAAAUAUUAUUCAAAGUGGAUUGCGGGAAAUUGGCUCUACCAGUUUCUGAUAAGACAAUAAAAUCUAAGUUUUUUUUUCUUUCGUUAGAUCCGACAAGAAUCUGUAUUUUUUAGAAUCAGCAAACCCGUUGCAAUUCCAGAAAAUGUCUUUCAUCUAGAAAAAAUCCUGUUAUUUUUCUUAUGUUUAUGACGGAGACCUCUUCGAGCAUCUUUUGUGAUACAGGGGUUUGUAAACACUUAGGGUCACAACCCCCAUCACCUAGCCCUUUCGAGAUUUCAGAGCAGAUUAAAUUUAAGCUUUUUUGGUCUAAAAUAUCGACAUCAGAACAAUAAGUCGAAGCCUCCGCUAAUUUAUUACUCUCAGACAUUCUAAAAUUUUCUACUUCUCUUAAAGAAUUUAAAGAGUUAAUGACAUCGUCCUGUUCAUUGUCCCCUAGAAUAAUCCCUAAAGAAUUGGUGCUACGUAGCAAAGAAGAAACAUCACGAGAAAGAAAAGAGCAAGGCUGUGUAUUAUUACCUUUAUCUGACUUGGACUCCAAAUUUUUGCGAGCCUUUAGUUUUGUUGCUUUCUCCACCGAAUCUUCUCUUGCUUAAUCUCCUAGGUGAUACUGUCCCACCAUUCUGUACUUUCAUCUUAUUCAGAAGUCCAGAGUCAUUUUUUGGAUUCACCGGGCUGGCCUUCCACUGGCCACAUCCAUCUGGAAAUAUCCAGUUGUGAGACAAUGCUAUAACUGGUUUUUUCUAAGUUGAACAGGUUUGCUUUGAUGGACUAAAGAUCCCAAAGAAUCUUUUUUUUUCGAAAGAUCCGUUACCGGCUUUCAUUGAUAAGUGGAGAGAAUAAUAGUUACAAGAGCUAUUUACAAGUUUUUGUGGCCUCGCAGUUUCUGGAGGCCACAACACCCCUACUAAUUACAGACUAGAUUACAAAUGUAGAGGAGCCUACUGGUCUUAGAAAGAAAAGUGCUACUCAUGAGAGGUGAGGCCCUAAAGGUACAAACGUUGGCAGCAGAGUUUGUAGGCCUUUGUUCCCUGAUCGUAUCCAUGUUUUAGCUUCAUCCUGGAUUGUACUUAGUACUUGGCUCGGCGUGCUGCAGAAAUUGUUGAAAACACGGUUGUUUCGUUCUCUCCAUAUUUCCCAGAUAGUCAGAAUGACUAUGGAGCGUAUCCCAUCUCUCACUUCAUUGUUAUUGCUGUUCCCCAUGUUCACGAACCAUUGUUCCAUAUCAUCUAUGCAUCCCCAAUUAGACGGUUUGAGAUUCACUGCCCCAGUCCAUGUGCUGACCUUAUCCCAGAUCAUUCUUGAGAACUUGCAUUCCUGGAAAAGAUGGGAGGUGGUCUCUAAGUUUCUAACGCAGAGAUGACAGAAAUAUUCAUUGGGCCAUUCUCUGAGUUGUAAACGUGCAGCUGUCCAAAUCCUGUUUUGGAGCAUCAACCAGACAAAGAAGCGGCAUUUUGGCGGUGCUUUCGUUCGCCAGGUGUUCUCUGCAGUCAGUGACUUAGUUGUGCCUGCGAAUUGCAGGUCAUAUGCUGAUUUUGCAGUAUAUUGCCCACCAGUAGUGUGCAGCCAAAUGAUCCUGUCUUCCUGCAGUGGGAGGAGUGUGAUGUUUUGAAGGCGCCGCCAUAAGGCCACGAAUUCUUCAAUUGUCCGCUGUGUCAUACUAUGGUCGACAUCUUGGAUCCAUUUGUCAUUGGUUAGCGCUUCGACAACUGAUCUGUUUUUCCUUCUGCUGUGGUUAAAGAGUGUUGGGAAUAGGGCUGCAGGAGCCUCACCUUGCAGCCAGCGCGAGGUCCAGAAGGUAGCCUUAGCACCAUUUCCCAGUUCAAUUCUGGUUGCAGCAUUGAAGAGUGCUAUGUCAUCCUUGUCCACUGGCAUCUGCAUGUCUUUCCAUGGUCUUUCUGUGUCUUCCCUGGAGAACCACAGCCACCUUAGUCGUAGGGCUCUGCUGAACUUCUCCAAUUCUACAAUACCUUGGCCUCCAUUAACAGUUGGCGUGCAUACCUUGAACCAGCCCACUUUACACUUUCCACCAGUGAGUUCAUGGUCACCUGCCCAUAGGAAUCUUCUUCUCAGUUUGUCUAGCUCCCUCAGGAAGUUCUUAGGAGGUUUAAUGACCGUCAUCAAAUAAACAGGUAGUGAGCUAAGUACUGACCGCACCAAUUCUCUUCUCCCAGCUACAUUGACUAAGCGUCCUUGCCAUCCGGCAACCUUGCCUUUGGCUCUGUCGAUGAUGUAUUGUAGGUGAGCCAUUCUUAACCUUCCGAGCGUUAGCGGCAAUCCUAAGUAUUUGACUGGGAAGCAGACUUCAACCUCUUGCUAGAUAGCACCCCCAUCAGUUUUGCCAGAGUUAGGUAGCUGAUUACCAGAAGCAUUAUUAGGUGGCUGAUCCUCAAUUUUUUUCCAUCCAUAUCCAUGUUCUCAUUAGCUUUUUCCUCAUUUGGUUUUCCUUUCUCAGGAUCCUCAUCCUAGUCCAUGUCUAUGACCUCUGGCUCACCAUUAGGCAUACCUUCUUCCACUCUGAACUGUAGCUCAUAAACAAAAUCUCCAAUCACAACAUCCACCAGAUUAGGGAUAAGACUGGGAUCAAGCACGGCUACUUUCAUUCUUGCUCUGCCAAACUUCUUUAUGAAUUUGGUGUCUACAGCUCAGGGAACACCUAAGAUGGAGCCAAUUGCCCAGAUAAUGGAGAAUUCCCGAAACUCCUUACGAAGUCCCCUAAACUGCACCCAAACUUUUUAAAAUGACUUAUAACUUGGGAUGGAGGGGAGCAUAUUUUUGGUUUAACGCGUAAACCUUUCCGUCCAUUAGUGUGUACGUAUCGUUACCUUGUUCACGGAGUACUCUUCCCACGCACGCACAGCGCCGCUGGCCGAACAGGGAAGCGCCAUGCCGCUGGCCGUAGCUCUCUCUUCACAGGCGACGGGCAUGCGACCGGCGGUGAGCGGUGCGGCCACAAGCUAGCGUCAGGCGACGGCCGGCGCGGCCACAGGCGGUGUGCCAAGUGCGGCGGCCGCGGUGGCUCAGCUUUAUUAUGUUAUUGUACAUACGGCGUGCGGCCGUGGCUGCACUUAUAUUGCGUACUGGUGUCCGUACGGCUACAGACCAAGAAGGGGUAGGAAUCUGUAUCGUACAUACAACAGUAUAUACUAAGGGGUGAAAUUACUGGAGUACCAUUUAUUUUUUAAAAUAUUAACUAAAAAUUACUUAAAAAUUAUAUGUUUUGGUACUGGUCCGGUGUAUUGACCCGGCAAUGAUCAUCCUCCUAUCACUGCAGCAUCUAAACACCGGGAGUACUGAUGGGCAAGCCCAUCCAUUUACCCAUUGUUGAGUCCGAUUUCAGUGUGAUCCAUGGACAUGGUGUAGUCAACGUAACGUCAACAUAGAUAGAACAUAUCUUCUAUUAGUGUUUCCUAAUUGCAUUUCUUGAAUUGGAGACGACAUUUGUAAUGGUAACAGAGAAAUUAUGCGUACGAGAUGAAGUUUCCUGUCACUACUCUUUUGCCCAAGCAUUCCUGAUUCAACUAGUAGGAUCAUUAAUUUUCUGCGACAUAGUACUAAAGUUACAUGCAUGUGUUUUUCUGCAAACUAUGUGCAUUUGGUGUUGCAGCUGCAUGUGCGCCGGCCGGGACCCCAAAUUAUCUUGGCCCUUAUAAAAGGCACACAAGUUGCAUCUUGCCUGCCAUUCAGUCUUUGACACAAAAGGAAACACACAUGAGGGAGUGUGUGUGCUUGUGUCCGCGAGAAAGCAGCCAUAAGUUACAUAGCCAUGUGGGAUCUGGAGGCAUCAGGAUCUUUGGCUAUGCUAAAGCCUAGAUGGUGCUCACAUAAUGCUACAGGGUGGUGGAAGCUGUCUGAUGCAAGAGGCUGGUUUUGUGAUGGCCAGUCCAAAGGUACCUCACAUCUUGUUGUUGAUUGCAUUGAAUAGAUGAAGAGAGAGUGUAAUCAAGUAGAAAAUAAUUUAACAUGUCUAGCCACAAUACAGGAGAUUUGUGUUCUGCUAGGCAAGCACUUGCCUUCAUUUCGCAAAGCAUCCAAAUGAUUGUAACCAGCCCCAGCUUAAGGUAGCAAUUAAGAUGCGGCAAUUCUCUUGCGCGGGGGUAAGCUAUAGUCCUAAGCGGCAUCUCGUUCAUAUACCUAACUAACUAAUAUGUUGCUGCAAUCGGUCUUGAAAAUCCUAGGAGAAGACCUCGAUCCCUAAAUGAAAGUAAUUACUGAAUGAAUUAAGCCUGAAGCAAUAAGUUUAAAAUAUCAUCCCAAGUUAGAAGUUACUACCUGAUGGCUCAAUGCAUACUUUCCGCACAAAAAAAGAGGCAGCCGAUUUUUUUUCUUGAAAGCAGUUUGUAAUCAAUUUCUCUAGGACCAUUUGGAUCAACUGAAUUAUAGAUUAUUAAAAGGUAGCUUGAAGGUUAUGAAAACUACAUUGUGGUAAGUGAAUGGAAAUGGUGGAUAAUUUUUAGUGAACUCCAAUAUACAGUCAAUUUGGUCUUUUUGAACGAAUAAAUUAGUACAAAUUCAACAAACAUGGUCAGGGAUUGUGACACUCUCUAAUAGCAUCUAUUAAAAAUUUGGGUAAUAACAGUGCCACGAUUGAAGGAACCAAAACCGCACAAUUGGGGGAAAAUAGAAAAAAUCAGAGUGCAACAUCGAUCCUAGGGUUUGUCGGUGUGCACCUGUCGACGAUGAUGUUCCACCAUUUUUAGUUGCAAAAAUAGAAUAAAGAUUAUUAUGGACGGCAUUUAUCCUUGUUGUUACAUGUACCAUUGCUCCUGUCCUGUGUAGCAAGGGAAAAAUGAUUGAAAUGGCACUUAUGCUAUUUAUUUAGACAUAGAUUCUAAAAUACUAGCUCUUAUAUAUAUAUAUAUAUGCUAUUUUAGAAUCUAUGUCUCUUUUUAUUCAACCAAAAAAUGAAUCUAUGUCUUUAAUAACGCAUCUUGUGAAAUUGAAUAUGGAGGCUUAACAGAAAUACUUAACUCGUAACUGCAAUAUGGGAUGAUGAGAGAUUCUUGUGAAAUUGAAUAUGGAGAUGAAGGUACCAAAUGAUGUAUUCGUAUUAAUAUAUCAAGCAAGAAUGGCGAGUUUUAUGAUUUUUCUUGAAAGGACAGCAUUUUUGCUGCGAUUUUUAUUAGACGAGGAAAAACAAAAAAGGCUAUACAAACACAACUAAAAAUGUAAAAAAAGAAGACAAAUGGAGACCUGAGCCGGGGUCAUAGGAUAUACCAAAACAAGACAACACUCACAACAUGGGUCGAUGAAAUGACUAGAUGCCGGGCUAAAUGUACGGUUUGAUCCUUGCAUAAGCUCGCGACUUUCAUUGGACAUCUUGUUUUCUAUAGAAAAGUUCUUCUAUUACACUCCUUCUAAAUAUGCCACCAGAAAUAGAUUAUAAUUUUGUCAAAAAACUUUUUUUCUUGGUUUGUCAAUGGUAUAGCUGUGCAUGCAUCUCCUCCAGUAACUAUUCAUGGAGCUGCUUUGAUUUAUGUUCCAAAUGUUGGGGAUAUCACACCAAGUCUGUACUAUUGACCAUGUUUCCUUGAAGGCGAUGCGUGUGCUCACAUUGGGGUUCAUGGUGGCCAGGUUGAAGACGACACUGGCAGAAAUUACAAGAGACAGAAGUAAUGCUGCAGCAUAUAGACCGAACAGCGGGACUAGCAGUUAUUAUGACAUCCAUAUCUCAGUCACCAUGGAACCUAUGGACAAACCAACUUACAUAAACAUGUGCAAGUAUAGGAGACAUUGGGCUGCCGGAUUAACGGGAACGCCAUUACGAUCCAGACUCCAGAGCAGCACAACAACGGCCAGGACGGCAGGGAUAGCGUUCAUAAAGUUUUUUUGUGAUUUGUGCUCUGUUUUUUGAGAAGCGAAACAAUGUCAUGUUUGAUUUGUAGUAAACAAGAAAUACUGAUAUUUAAUUAUGAUAUGGAAUAAGUACUAGAUUAAUAAUACAACAUGUUUUAUUUUUUAUAGUGAAUCUGUUCAAAGAAGACAAAAAUACUGAUUCUAUUUUUUUUUCUAUAAAUUAAGAAAAACUAGAUGUGCAUUUUUUUUGACGUCGAGUACUACGAAAUUUUGGGAAGGGUGCUAUAACAGCCAAGCCAAACUCUUCUGCGAACUCAAAGGCCAUGACCCAACCAAACCUCACCUGCACACCACUUGUCUUGACACCACACAAAGAAUUGCAUCACAGCAUACCUUCACCUUCUUCCUCCCGUCAUCACUCCACGGCAAGACCUCCGCUCGUCGUCUCUUACAAAUGCCAAGCCCACGCCCUUCCUCCUUCUCACUACCAACGCCGGCCAAGAAGCCACCAACAACCAGCAGCAGUUCAGGAUGGGCGACGCGGCCAUCGCCGUCGUGCAUCAGACUGAAGAGGAGCAGGAGGAACACAUAUUCCGGAGCCGGUUCCCGCCCGUGGACCUACCGGACGUCACCGUGCCGGAGUUCGUGCUGGCGGGCGCCGAGGCCUACGCGGACAAGGUGGCGCUCGUGGAGGCCGCUCCGGGCGGCCGGUCCUACACCUACGGCGAGGUGGCCCAGGACGUGGCGCGGUUCGCCAGGGCGCUGCGGUCCAUCGGCAUCCGCAAGGGCCACGUCGUGGUGGUCGCGCUGCCGAACCUCGCGGUGUACCCGGUGGUGAGCCUCGGGAUCAUGUCCGCGGGCGCGGUCUUCUCCGGCGUGAACCCGCGCGCCAUCGCCGCCGAGAUCAAGAAGCAGGUGGAGGACUCGGAGGCCAAGCUCGUUGUCGCCAACGAGGUGGCCUACGACAAGGUGAAGGACGCGGGCGUGCCGGUGAUCGGCAUCGGGGACGACAUGGAGCGCUUCCCCGGCGCGAUCAGCUGGGACGAGCUCCUCGCCGCGGCGGACCGCACGGGCGCGCCGGUGGUGGCGCUGGAGCCGGUGCAGCAGUCCGACCUGUGCGCGCUCCCCUACUCGUCCGGCACGACGGGGGUGUCCAAGGGCGUGAUGCUGAGCCACCGGAACCUGGUCUCCAACCUCUGCUCCUCCAUGUUCGCCGUCGGCGAGGAGCUCGUCGGGCAGGUGGUCACCCUGGGGCUCAUGCCCUUCUUCCACAUCUACGGCAUCACCGGCAUCUGCUGCUCCACGCUCCGGCACAAGGGCACGGUGGUGGUGAUGGACCGCUUCGACCUGCGCACCUUCCUGGGCGCGCUGGUGACUCACCGCGUGAGGUUCGCUCCCAUCGUGCCGCCCGUGAUGCUGGCCAUGGUGAAGAGCUCCGUGGCCGACGAGUUCGACCUCUCCGACCUCGCCCUCAGGUCCGUCAUGACCGCCGCUCGCGCCGGACCUCCUCGCGGCGUUCGAGAAGAAGUUCCCCGGCGUGCAGGUGGAGGAGGCGUACGGGCUCACGGAGCACAGCUGCAUCACGCUGACGCACGCCGGCGGCGACGACCCGCAGCAGGGGCCGGUCCAGAUCGCCAAGAAGAACUCGGUCGGGUUCAUCCUGCCCAACCUGGAGGUGAAGUUCGUCGACCCCGACACGGGCCGGUCGCUGCCCAAGAACACGGCCGGGGAGAUCUGCGUCCGGAGCCAGGCCGUGAUGCAGGGCUACUACAGGAAGAAGGAGGAGACGGAGCGCACCAUCGACGCCAAGGGCUGGCUCCACACCGGCGACGUCGGCUACAUCGACGACGACGGCGACGUGUUCGUCGUCGACCGGAUCAAGGAGCUCAUCAAGUACAAGGGCUUCCAGGUUGCUCCUGCCGAGCUGGAGGCCAUUCUCCUGUCCCACCCGUCGGUCGAAGACGCGGCCGUCUUCGGGUAAGUUAUCGCGACCAUGACCGCCUGCAUGCAGCUCACGACGCACUAGACAGAGACUUGACCGCCGUGCUUGUGCUGCGUCAUGCCAUGCCAUGCAGCCUGCCGGACGAGGAGGCCGGCGAGGUCCCGGUGUCGUGCGUGGUGCGGCGGCGUGGCUCGUCGGAGAGCGAGGCAGACAUCAUGGCGUACGUGGCCGGUCGCGUGGCGUCGUACAAGAAGCUCCGGCAGCUGCAGUUCGUGGACGUCAUCCCCAAGUCGGUGUCCGGCAAGAUCCUGCGGCGGCAGCUUAGGGACGAGUUCGUCAACAGGACCAAAACGGCAGCAGCCUAGGCACAAAUACAGGCAGGCUUAGCUCCAACAAUGGUAACUUGCAUAGCUCAUUGAAACGAGUACAUGUCAAGCUAUUCUAAUUUUUUAAGGCGACUACAUCUGUGAUGCUCAAUGUGCUUUGUUUAUGCUGUUUGACGAGGCCGUGUGAUAUGACGACUGUUUAAGGCGACUACAAGAAAUCUGAGCUUCUAUGACGACUACUAGAUGACAGAGCACCUUUCUGUCAUAAAUAGAAAUAGUUUAUGAAGACUGUUUACAGGAUGACAACUGUUUAUGACCAAGCUGUGUCUCUGUCAUAAACAUUAUCACAGUAUACUCUGCAUAUGCUUUGUGACGAUAGAUCAAUGGCAAUAGUUGAUCGUCAUAAAAUAUAUAACUAUUAAAAAAAUUACUCAAACUUGAAUAAAGACAUGAUCAAAACCAAAGAUGUAGUUACAACUUAUUCUACAACUUGCCAUAAUUUUUUAUACCAUAAACUUUGAUAAAAGACAUGAUCAAAAUUAAUGUAGAUAAGUUCUAUAACUUUUUUGUUGAUGUCUUUUUAUUAUAAUUAAUUUAGUCACUCAAAAUUCUACUCGAAAUUAUCAUAUUUCAAAAUACAAAAUUUCAAAUUAUUGGGCUAUAUUCCAGGCCCAUAUAAUUUGAAUGUAACAACAUGUCGUUGAAUUUUCUGGUCAUUUUUUUGUUGGCUCUAAUUUGACCUGAGAACAUAAUAAUUUUUCAAUGAGAUUAACUUAAAUUUUUUGCUAAUAAUUAAUUCUAAAUAAUGCAGUAAUAAUAAAAAAAGAAAACUUAAAAGAAUAUAUAAACCUUAUUCGGCUUAUAUAAUUAUUUGUUCUAACCCCGAACGCACAAGCCAAUAAGGCCGUAACCUGGGCCUGGGCCUCGAAAGUGCCCUCGGGCCUCCUCUUCCCCACCGGUCUGUUAAGACCACGAGACGAUCAUGGCUGUUUGUAUGGAUCUGACGACUGGCCUUGCUUUUCGAUGGUUUAAAACCAGUAGCCUGAGAAACCCUAACUGGCUAACCUUAUCUCCAGAGUCCAGCCGCCGCCACUCAGCCAACGAAAAAAGAAAAAAUCGCUCCCCCUCAGGCCCAUCGCUCUCCCCAGCUCCUCCGCAGUCUUGGGCGCCCUCGACGCCGGCGGCCGUCUUGGGCUCGACGGCCGUCCUCAGCCCCACCAUUCUCUGCUUCCAGGUCGUCCUCUCCCCAGCCGUUCUCCACUCCGCCCCAUCUGCCGCGUCUCCUCCUCCGCCCCAUCUGUUGCGUGACGUACUUCCGCAUCUGCUGCGUGCCCUAGCCCUCAUGCUUCCUCCGGACAGAUGCCCUUCACUGUGAACAGUCUAGGCCGUUGAAUCUCCUUCCUGCUCAGAACAACUUUGCUUCUUUUUGCGAUCGAUCAGGUCACCAGGUAGAGGUAAAAAUGGUGCUUUUUUUUUUUUGCAAUCAGGUCAUUCCUUAAAGCUUGCUGGUACGUGAAUAGAUCAGAUGGAUAUUAGUGCAGGUCAUUCCUUAAAGCUUGCUGGUACGUGAAUAGAUCAGAUGGAUAUUAGUGCAGAUCCGUCAAUUUCUCCUCUUUAUCUUAGGAUUUUUUUAUCCUAUUAGGUCCUAUUAGUACCGAUCUGUUAAUGUACUAGUAAAAGAGAUAGUGGAUUGGCAUAUGGUGACGCUUAGUUCAUAGGGUAUAAUCAGAUAUACCAUAUGCAUGAAUGGUGCACAUAUGUAGGAGUGCAGUAGUUAGCAUUGUGCAUUAGAGGUACUUUUUUAGAGGCUCUAGUGCUUAGGUUUAUAGGUUGAAGUAUUGUCUGAUGAUAAUAAAUCUAGCAAAUUAAUUAAGUAUGAUUUAUAAUCUUCCAAAUUAAGUAUGAUGUCUAAAACAGAUUGUGCCCUGUUUUUUCAGGUUAGGUAUUUGAGAAGGACGCUGGUCAGUGUUGAGGACUGCUACUAUACAAUUCUCUGUGGAAAGGUUGUCAUCUUCUACUUACGUUUCAUCUGUUUUAGAGUUACAGCUAUAUGAUCCUGUGUUCGUUAAAUUCAGCAAGCUGAAGCACUAUAUUUUCUUUAGGGGCAAUCUAAGGAUAUAUGGAGGCAAUUCCUUGUACAAGUAGGAACAUUGACUAAAUUUGAGAAGGUUACCUGAGGUGAUCUGGUUUUGGAGCCUUAUCCUUGCAGGUAUAUUUGAUUCACGAUUUGAGAUCUGGUUUGUGCAGAAGUUUUAGAUUUGAGUCAUGGAUUCUUAGCCGUGUGAUGCUUCAUCUCUCGUGCAGUCCCAGCUAUUGUAUGCUCUGUGUUUGUGCUAGUCCAAAUAUAUUCUAUACUAUGAGUUGUUAUUCUGACUUUCUGAGUGACUACAACUCAGUACAUGUCAGAUUUAAUAAACAAUCUCAAUGAUUUUCGUAAGUGUUAAUCUUAUUUUGACUCAAGUUUUUGCUUCAUAUUGAACCUGUCAUGAAUAUUCAGAGUAUGUUUCAUUGAGGUUAUCAUUGCUUGUGCAGGUUGGGCUGUGCUGUUUUGAUGCGUGUAGCAGUGAAGUUUUGUUUGCUGGAACGUGGCUGCAGGCUGCUGGGUACUUUUGUGUAGUUUGGUCGCUCCGUGGUUGAUACUUUUGAGUAGUUUCGUGGCUCCGUGGUUGGUACUUUCGUGUAGUUUGGUGGCUAGAAUGUUUUUGGUGUAUGUAACAUGUAUUCUGGAACAUAUGCUUUUGUUGGCUGGAAUAUUAUCUGUGGCUAGAAUAUAUCUGUUGCAUUGUUGGUUAUUAUAUUCAUGCAAUUGUGAAUGUGAUUUAUAUUCCGUGAUUGUUUUAUUGGACCAGCCACAAAUCUUGCGCUGUAAUGAAAAAAGCCAAUUUGUAGCUAGGCUAGAAAAAUAUUUGGGCCAAUUGGGCUGAUUGUAAUUGAAAAUAAAAAAAAUAAAAAAAAUCCAUGCUAUAUGGGCCAAAUGCAUAUACACGUGCUGCUAUUUUGUUUAAUAUGUUAUGACGAGUUUAAUUCUGUCAUUACAUCAAUGACAAGAGAACUAUCGUCACUAUAUCAAUGACAAUGUCCUCUGAUGGUCACAGAAGCUGUUUAGUGACCCACCUUCUGUGACGACAGUCACUUCGUCACUGUGGGCGUGACAGGAAAAAGGCUGUUAUCGUCAUAAUCUAAUUGUCAUAGAAGCCCAGAAUUCUUGUAGAGAAUAGAUGGGUUCUUUUGGGCUUUUGGCCACAUUGGUAGUGCUCCUAGAAAAAAAUGAGUCCUUUCCCACAAUUAUAGAAGUUCUAAAUUCCAUACGUGCCACUCAGAAUCCGUGUCCGAGCUAGCAUUCUCUGGUGUAAGGUGUGAGGACGAUAAAGAGAUAGGCAGGUUGUGUGGGCAAGCUAAGUUCUGCCCCGACGACCAGCGGGAGCACGCGCGGGCAAGCGCCAACCUGCUGGGCUGCUGGCAUAGCCACUGUAGAAGAGCUCCUCCGCGGAGCAGUAUCCGGCGCAGCAUGGGAGAGGGACGAGAGAAAUAAAGGUGAAAAAAGGAGAAGUGCAUAGUAAGGGCACUUUGGACAUUUUUUAUGGCUGCCCCAUGUGACAGAGCUAUGAGGGCGCUAAAAUGUAACAGAAGUGGUGGCAUGCAGAGCAAUAUCAUUGUAGAAAAAAGUUAGCGACUCAUUUGAAGUUUCUAUCAAUCAACCUGAAUGCUUUUUUUCUUUGCGAAUUGGAAGAAUCAAGUAGGGUCAUUAUAAGAGACUAAACAAACUCUGGAAAAAAAAAUAAAAGAAGACUUGACUCCGACUUAAACUAAGAGCUAAUUAAGCUAACUUUAUAUAAGGUGGACUGAAAUUUCAAUUUCGGAAGAAGGCUAGGGGAGGCAGAAGUGGCUAAAUGGGAUGAACUAAUAAAUGAGCUAGAGAUAGUUGAACUAAGCGGUGUAGAUGAUGAGGUUAUCUGGGCCCUAUAACCAUAUGGCAAAUUCUCCAUCAAAUCCCUAUACAAGAUAAUGACCAAUAGUGGGAUGGUGGAUCUGAGGAUGACUGAAAUGUGGAAAGCACACCUUCCCCCGAAUUUUUUUUGAAAGGACAGGAGGGGCUGAGGAGCCCUACUGAAAUGUUAUUAAAGCAACCCAGGAGGUUGCGAAACAGGCGAAACGAGUUCAAAAGGUAAAAACAAGGAAAAAAAGACUAAAACUUGAAGAGGAGGGGUUGAUGGAAUACAUAUCCAUUCAGGAAACAAAGAACGAAAUGGAAAAAAAUAAAAAAAAAAUUACACAGCUCUAACUAUAAUUCAAUAUCUGGAAAGUACUUCUUCUUAGCUCUCCACGGGAGCUGCUUGAAGUGAUGCCUGAAAAUUUCGAUGCAGCUAAAGUAAUCCACCGAAACUCCUCUGAAAAUAACAUCGUUUCUAGAAACCCAGAUGCUCCAACACAAGAGAAUUAUCACCUCCAUGAAGAAGGAAACAUUUAGCUGAGUUUUAAGGCUUUGAAGCCUCCGAAAAGCAUCUGGGUCACUCAUGAUGACCAAACCAAGGAGGCUCCAAUAGUUUCUAGGAAAACUGCAUUCCAUGAACAAAUGAUCCACAGUUUCGUCAAAGUGAAGAGAGCAAAGGACACAAUUUGUAGAUGGGAUUGGCAUGUGCCUUCUACUGAGUAGGUUGGGAGUGCGAGCCUAUCUCUUAUUAGGAGCCAAAAGAAUACCUUAUGUUUAUGUUGGCAGGAGGAGUUCCAGAGCCAUUUGAAAACUGGAUGGGUUUGCACAUUUCCAAGCAGAUGCCUAUAUGCCUUUUUGGAAGAAAAUAUGGCACUGCCCCAAAUGUAAGUCCAAAUGCCUAUAUGCUAUAUAUUUCCAAACGGGCCGAAUUUAGCGGGCUGGCACGGGCACGGUACGAAAAAGCCCGAUCUGAAAAUGGCGCCUUGUGCCCAUUCCAAGCACGGCCCGGCACCAUGCCCGUGCUUGGGCCGCAAUGCCAGCACGGUGGCAUGGCCCGGACACGACCCGCUUCAAUGGCCGGCAUGGGGGUCACACCCCUAUAUAAGGCGGGAGCCGCGACCGCCCCUCCCCCAUUGAAACCCUAAAUCAUUUCCCCCCUCUUGGCCUCUCCUCUUCCUCUCGCUCUCGAUGUGGCGCCUCCUCCUCCCUGGCUGAAACCCUAAAUCCACCUUCUUCCCUUCGUCCGGUGAGAAGCAGAGGGCCGCGGUGGCUAAUUGACACAGGGAUCUGCAUCCCCGACCCCUCUUAUUCCUUGCUUCAAGUCGAUGUGAUAGUAACCUCGUCAAUCUCCUCUCUCUCUCUCUCUCGUCUCCAUCAUCGACGCCGCCGUUGCCGGACUCCGACAGCUUUGGGGCUCCGCUCUGAUGCGUUGAGGUACCAGGGUGCCGGAUCUUGGCGACGUCAUCCUCGCCGUUGUCUUUGGUGCUCCGUCAAGCAAGGUCAGUCGUAACCCUAGAUCUCGUCCUCCUUGUUCUUCUUCUGUUCAUCACUUCUUGAUUUCUGCCUGGUUUUAAUCAUCUUUUUUGUUUUGAUGUUCGUUAGGGUUUGGCGUUGAGGGACCGGAGACGGACAAGAUGUCGGAAGAGGAUGAUGUCGUCGAGAUGACCGAAAAUGAGGAGAUGCGGUUCUCUGGGUUGACUGGAGACGACGAGGAUGAUCUCUUUGGGGAUGCCGAGGAGCUCUUGCGCCGUCAUGCUAUCGAGGACCUCUUCGAUGGUUCUGCUGUCCACCCACAUCCCCUCGACGACGAUAUGGCCCCAAUCGAGUUCCAUGCUGCUGCGGCAACGCCGGUGAUGCUGAGAGCAAUGCUGGUGCUGCUGACGCCAACACCGAUGCUGCUGAUGCCUCCAGUAGCAGGGGUAAACGCCCUUCUACCUCACCAUGCUGGGAGGAUUUUGAGAAGCUCUUCAAGAAGGUAAAUGGUAAGGAGGUCAGGUAUGGCACUCGUUGUCUUCACUGUCGUAAACCGGGUAUUCUAGAUUUGGGACUGGCCACCUCCUUCGUCAUAUGGAGGUUUGUGAGAAGAAAAAGGAGAAGUCUCGCCUUACUCAGUCCCACAUUACUUUCACUAAAGAUGGUGUUGCUCGUAACUGGGAGUAUUCUUGUGAGGUAGCUCGUGUUCAGCUUAUUUGUUUGCUUGCUAGACUAGACCUUCCUCUUAGACUUGGGGAACCUGAGGCAUGGGAUCUGAACUCGCAUCCUAUCUGGAUUGUGACACUGUCAGUCAGUAUGAUGAUGACUUUAACUAACUUAUCUUAUUCUUUCUACCCUAGCUAAAGAUAUUUUUAGUGUAUCUGUUUCUAUAAUUUCUUCAGAAUCUACUUUCAGCACCACUGGCAGGAUCCUUGAAGAACGGCGGUGAAGGUUGAAUCCUGAGACUGUGGAGGCACUGACAUGCAUCAAGGAUUAGGAAGCUACUGAAUCAAGACUACAACAUAUGGUGGAGGACAAAGAACUAGAGGCUAUCUAUGAAGACCUUUAUCUUGAUUAGUCAUUUCAUUUAUGUAAUGGUUCUGUAAUCUUAAAACUCUGGAUGUGGAUGCUUUGGACCUUGGUUGUUGAUGUAAUGAACAUUAAUCUAGGGGCUGGCUGUACUCUUUUUGCUUGUCUAGGGUUUCUCACAAGGGUGAGUUUUAUCUAGACAGAUUUUUAAUGAGGCAGCCAUUGCACAGCCUCCUCCUUUUGUUAUGUUUGUGCCUUUGUGAUCUCUGUCUGUUUUUUUGUUUUUAAAUUCUGAGAAGUUCAUUGAAUUUGCUAUUUUUAAUGAGUUUUUUUGCAUGUUUUUGUGGUGUUAGUGCUUGGGCACGUCACUACACUAAUAUUCACUGGCGGGCACGGCGCGGCACUAAUUAUCGCCCUUAGUGUCGUGCUCGUGCCAAGAGCUCGGCACGACAGCCCUACUUGGCACGGCACGGCUGGCACGCGUGCCAGAUAGGGCCGUGCCUGAUAGUGUCGUGCCAGCACCGUGCUAGUGUCGUGUAGUGUCGUGCCGCCUGUUUGGAAAACUAUGAUAGGAGCUCGACAAAAUUGCGACGUCUAGGUGCCAUUGGAGCUAGCGUGUGGUGGCCAAUGAGGAAUAGCAGAUGCAGUUUUAGUUUGUUGCAUAGAUACAUAUUUAUUAUGGGCGCUUACGGUUGCGGAACGGCCGGUGUGGUGAAACAGGAUGACUUUUCCUAAGUUCUAAUCUCAAGAUUAGAAAAUUUAAAUAGAUUAGAAGUUAUUGGAGAGAGAUUUUUCUCAUUUUACAGAAAACCAUAUAUUAGAAAGGGAUCUAGGGAACUCAUCUAGAUGCUCUAGCCCUAUCGUCUACCGUGUUUUUCCGUCUUUCGGCGCACAUGACGUAUCUCACUUUGCAUGCAUGCGAAUCUCAACAUUUGAUAACAAAGUUUCAGUCCAUUAUUAUUAUUGUGUGUGUGUUUGGGCACUACAGGAAUCAAGAAGGACGCCGAGUGUUAUAUGCUUUGCUAAGUGCCACAUUCAGGUACUCGGCAAAGUUUGGCACUCGGCAAAGGAUGACACUCGGUAAAGAAAUUUUUUUCUUCUAAAUUUUUUCUACUGUCUUUAUACUUUAUUUUGAAGUGUAUGUUCAAAUUUGCCACAGUUCUCGAUAUAUUUCCUAUAUAUCUUUAAUUUAUUUCAUUUAAACGUAUUUUUCUGAAAAUACAAUAUCGAAUCACAGGUGCAUCGAAUCAUAGAAUUCGAUGAUUGAAAAAAAAAUAAUAUUUAUGAUACUUAUUGUAGUUUGAGGUUGUUUCCAGGAGCACGUCCAAAAUUUCUAACGUCUUAUACACGAAACAUGGUCAUAAAGUUGCGCGAAAAAUACAUUUUAAUUAUAUAAAUUACAAAUGAAGACCGAAAAUCUUAAAACCUGGCGACACGUCUUUACAUCACAUGUGGUCGUUAUGAUAAAAAUUUGAGAACGUUUUGCAGAAGUUGUCAUAUACGUGUGAUCGUAACUUUGCCAAGUGCCCUGUAGUGUGCAUUUGGCAAAGAGUAUUUUUUAAAAAAAAAUAAAAAUAGCUUUUGCCGAGUGCUAGAUCAGUUGGCACUUGGCAAAGAAUAAUUUUUUUUAAAAUUUUUUUUGCCGAGUGCCAUGACAUGACUCUCGGCAAAGAGUUUCAGCAUUUUUAUAAAAAUAGUGGAAAAUAAUUUUUGUAGAAAAUAUUUUUUAUUUGACAAAAUAUUUGCCGAGUGCCCUAAUCUGGCAAAGAGUUUCAGCAUUUUUUAAAAAAUAAUGGAAAAUCAUUUUUUUUAAGAAACAUAUUUUUUAUUUGAAAAUCUUUUUUGCCGAGUGGCGUGAUCUGGCACACGGCAAAGAGUUUAGGCAUUUUUUUAAAAAAAUAAUGAAAAAUCAUUUUUUAAAAGAAAUAUUUUUGUAUGAAAAUAAAAUCUUUACCUAGUGCUGUGAUCUAGCACUCGACGAAGAGUUUUGGCAUUUUUCAAAAAAUAAUGAUAAAUCAUUUUUUUUUAAAAAAUAUUUUUUAUUUGAAAAAAAUCUUUGUCGCGUGCCCUAAUCUCGUCCUCAGCAAAGAGUUUUGGCAUUUUUCUAAAAAAUAUUUUUUAACUAAAAAAAUGUUUGCCAAGUGUUGUGGCACUCGACAAAAAAUUUCAACAUUUUUCUUAAAAUAAUGGAAAAUCAUUAAAAAAUAUUGCCCCAAAAAAACAGUAGUGCGCACGCAGAUCCGAGUGCGUAUUUUCAAUUAACACGACGCCGUUGUCGUCUUGCUGAAUGCUGAUGACCUGACGUUCAUCUCCUUGCCCAGGCGCAAGGCACCCACAUGGCAACGGGGCUAUCCCCACCGGGUUUGAACUGAACAUUCUAUUUUGCGAUGGGAUCAAAACUCCCCGCUCCCCGUCCCCAUCCCCGCCAUCGGGGCUACAUUUUUCCCGUCCCCGUCUCCGAACGGGGAUUUCAUCCCCGUCGGGUUUUACAUCUUCGAUAAAUCCCCAACAAAUAUAUCGCUAGCAGCAGAACAUUUUAAGAUAUAAAUUCAACAUAAAUAAAAAGUCUCAAUAUAGUAGCACCACUGCAGCCACGACAGAUUGGCAUAGUUCAUCUUCAAUCAGUAAAUAAACAUCCAAAUCCGGAAUCCAAAACCAUCCCUGGGAGAGCCGCGGCCCCAGCAGCAGCACAACAGUGCAGCACCUUGAAGGCACCGCGUACAGCACUAGCGCCGCCAGCGGCCACACCACCACGAACACCGCCGUCGCGUGCGAAUCCUGCCUCGACAGCAGCGCCUCCACGUCUCCCCUGCGCCGCCAUGUCGCCUAGCACUCGGCCAUGGCGCGCAGCCGCACAUCAGCAGGGCGCGACCGUGCGACGAGCGGAGGGCGGGAGGCCAUCGAACUCCUCAUCCAGCUCGUCGGGGCUUCUGGAGGCCGGGGGAAGGAGGAGGGGGCGGCUGAGGAGCUCUCAGAGGCUCAGAGCCAUGGGGGAGGGGGCGGCGGAGGAGCUCUCAGAGGCUCAGAGCCAUGGGGGAGGAGGGAGAGGGGCGGCGGAGGAGCUCUCAAAGCCGCAGCUCGCACACUCGUGCGACGCAAGGCGGUAGCCAGUAGGGGAAGAGUGCGGCGCCUAGGAGGAAAGGGAUGGUGGGGAGGAGCUCUAGGGUUUCACAAUAUAUAUAUAUAUAAGAGUAUUGGGCUGGAUUGAUUGGGCCUCAAAUGGGCUACGGUUGUUACGGGCCGCAGUCGGGGACCCCAGCAGGGAACGGGGACGGGGAGGUGGGGAACGUUCCCAUCCCCGCCUCACCCGACGGGGCUGAGUUUCAGCCGUUAAUGUCCCCGCGGGGCACAAAUCUACCCCAUUUUCUUCCCCUAAUAGAGGAAAUCCCCGUCGGGGGUCGGGGAUCGGGGAUCGGGGCUCCGUUGCCAUCUUGACUGUCGGUGCAGCGUGGAAAGCCACGAACCAGAAUGACGGGCUGCUCCGGGCUCCGGCCUGGUACUACCCGUGGCUUUAGGGAGGUUACGGUGAUGGACGAGUAGUAGCGGCCAUCUCCGAUCAGGGACAAUAAGAGCGUGGGCGUUGGCCAAAAGCAGAGCAGGAGGGGGACUCGGGGCGAUAGCAGCUAGCAUGGGGAGUUCCUAGCCCUAGAGGCUAGAGCUAGAGAGAUCCACUAGGAGGCCUGGAGCCGCAACGCAUUGGGGGAAGGAAAAAACCGCUCGUGGGGAUCGUAGUGGCAGAUGACGGACAAAACAAUAGCGGAAGACAUGAAUAAAGGUGAAUUCCCUUAUGUGAAACAAAGUCCAUACACUGUACGACUACCACCACGCCCAUAUAUGGACAGGAUAUAAUAAAUACGAUCGACAUGCAUUGAACAAGCGCCGGGCUUCCCCUUCGUCUCUAACAUGGCAGAUGGGAAUCGAUCUGCCAAAGGGAAAUCCGUCAUCGUCGACGACGACUAUGAGAUCGACAGCACCAGCGACCAUAAGCAGGGAAGCUAUGGAGACUUCAGCAGAUGCUACGGCAGCCACGACGGUAGCUGCGCCGCCGUUGAUAGGCAUGAUGAUGGCUAUAGCCCCCACUUAUUACCAACGAACUUUGACGAUAACGGUAUGAUCAGCACAUCAUCUUUGCCUUUACCGAUAGCGCCCGCUUAUUACCAACACGUACAUCCGCGCUACUACGAGCAAGUAACCGGCCAAGGCGGCGGUGGUACUAUAACAUCCUUCCCUUUACCUUUCAGCGGCGCCACCGGUAUCUCUGGUCCUCAGCAUCACGUACGCACUGCCGGUAGUCAGUUGUUCACCGGCAUCGGCAGUAGCACCCAGCAUCACUAUGAGCUCUAUCAUAGUGCCAACACCAAAGGCGGUGGCGGCGCAACCUUUCGCUCGCCUCACCUAGAUGAUGGGAUUAGCAUGCACUACGUGCCCCAUCAUGUGCAUGCACCCAACAGCGGGUGUUCACGCUCGCCGCUUCUGUGGUCCAUGGCGCAAAUCGACAGCUUCGUCGUCAACUCGCUAUGAUAUCUCAUCAUUCGCAACCGCGGCGACAGCCUCUUCGCUUGCGAUGGCCGCCGCCGGGCUGUCAGAGUUUGUGAAUAACCUGUAGAAACAGCAAGAUCUGAUCGGCACUGACGAUGACGACGGGCAAAACCAUCCUCAGCGUGGCGUCUUGAACAGCAACGCCGACCAGUUACGUGGGGAGAAGGCUGGAAGACGUGAGGGGUGCCAUGAGUAGCAUCGGAUGGUGGCCAAGGGUGGCGCCACCGUGGCGCAGCAGGUGCUCCACAAGGUCUUCGGUGAUGUCGUGAGGCUCAUGGUCCACGCUGACGGCCACGUGCUCGUCGAGGUAUUAGUGCAGUACUUGACUCACUAUAGGAAACAGAAAGGAUGCUGAAUAUCAUAUGCUUUGCCGAGUGUCAAAUUUCGGAUACUCGGCAAUGAGUCUCUUUGCCGAGUGCCGUACUCACCAAAGAACAGCGCUCGACAAAGAGCCUCUUUGCCGAGUGCUAGACACUCGGCAAAAUGACACUUGGCAAAGAGCCUCUUUGUCAAGUGCCAGACACUCGGCAAAGGUUGCGGAGUGCCGUAGUUUGGCACUCGACAAAAAGGUUUUUUUUUCUCUAAACUUUUCUAAUGUCUUUACACUUUAUUUUGAUGUAUGUUUAAAUUUGGCACGGUUCUCGAUAUAUUUUCUAUAUAUCUUUAAUUUAUUUCAUUUAAACAUAUUUUUCUAAAAAAUACAAUAUUGAACUACAGGUGCAUCGAAUCAUAGUAUUCGAUAACUAGAAAAAUGAUAUAUCAUAAUACGUAUUGUAGUUUGAGGUCGUUUCUAGGAGCAUGUCCGAAAUUUCUAACGUCUUAUGUUUAAAUGAAAUAAAUUAAAAAUAUAUAUCAAAUAUGUCGAGUAAUAUGUCAAAGUUUAACAUGUAUGUCAAAAUAAUGUGUAAAAAAAAGAAAAUAGUUUGGAUGCCAAAAACAAAAAAAUUAUAACUUUGCCGAGUGCCUUAAUGUGGCACUCGGCAAAGAAAAUAUAUAAAAAAAUAAAAAACCUUUGCCGACUGCCCUGUGCACUCAGCAAAGAGUAACUCAUUUUUUAAAAAAUAAAAAUAGCCUUUGCCAAGUGCUGGAUCCGUUGGCACUCGGCAAAGAACAAAAAAAAUUAAAAAAAACUUUGUCGAGUGCCCUGACCUGGCUCUCGGCAAAGAGUUUCGAUAUUUUUCUAAAAAUAAUGGAAAAUCAUUUUUUUAAAAUAAUAUUAUUUAUUUUAAAAAAAUGUUUGCCAAGUGCUCUGGUCUGGCACUCGGCAAAGAGUUUUGGCAUUUUUUAAAAAAUAAUGGAAAAAUCUUUUUUUUAAAAAAGUAUUUUUUUUAUUUAAAAAAACUUUGCCAAGUGCCGUCAUCAACACAGCUAGCGUGGGGAGUUCCUAGCCCUAGAGCUAGAGGGAUCCAUUGGGAGGCCUGGACCCCCGCGCAUUGUGGGAAGGAAAAAACCACUCGUGGGGAUUGCAGGGGCAGAUGACGGAUAGAGCAAUAGCGGAAGGCAUAAAUAAAGGUGAAUUUAUUUCCUUGUGUUAAACAAAGUCCAUGCACUCUACGACUACCACCACACCCAUAUACAUACAGGACAAUAAAUACGAUCGAUCUGCCAAAGAGAAAUCGUCGUCGUCGAUGAUGACUACGAGAUCCGCAGCACCAGCAGCCAUAAGCAGGGAAGCCAUGGAGUGAUAAUAAAUACGAUCGAUCUGCCAAAGAGAAAUCGUCGUCGUCGAUGACGACUACGAGAUCGACAGCACCAGCAGCCAUAAGCAGGGAAGCCAUGGAGACUUCAGCAGCUACGGUAGCCACGGCGCUAGCCGCGCCACCGUUGAUAGGCAUGAUGAUGGCUAUAGCGCCCACUUAUGACCAACAAACAUUGACGACAGCGGCAUGAUCAGCGCAUCAUCUUUGCCUUUGACGAUAGCGCCCACUUAUUACCAGCAUGUAGAUCCGGGCUACUAUGAGCCCGUAACCGGCCACGGCGGCGGUGGUACUACAGCAUUCUUCCAUUUACCUUUCAGCGACGCCACCGUUAUCUCUGGUCCUCAGCAUCAUGUACGCACCACCGGUAAUCAGCUGUUCAUCGGCAUCGGCAGAAGCACCCAACAUCACUAUGAGCUCUAUCAUAGUGCCAACGCCAAUGGUGGCGGUGGUGCAACCUUCCCCUCGUCUCACCUAGACGAUGAGAUUGGCACGCACUACGCGCCCCAUCAUGCACAUGCUCCUCCAUGGAGCAAAUCGACAGCUUCAUCGGUAACUCGCUAUGAUCUCUCAGCAUCCGUGACCGCGGCGACAACCUCCUUGCUCUCGGUGGCCGCCGUCGGCUGUCGGAGUUUGUGAAUAACCUGCAGGAGCCGCAAGAUCUAAUCGGCACUCAUGAUGACAAUAGGCAGAAUCAUCCUCAACGUGGUGUCUUGAACAACAAUACACCGACCAGUUGUACAUAGGGAGGAGGCUGGAGGACGUGAGUUGUGCCAUGAGUAGCGUCGCUAGGAACACCCCCAGGUGUUGUUUCUAGUCCGGAUGGUGGCCGAGGACGGCGGCGCCACGGCGCAGCAGGUGCUCCACGAGGUCACCGGCGAUGUCGUCAGGCUCAUGGUCCACGUCGAUGGCCACACGCUUGUGGAGCCAUUGGUGCAGUACUUGACUCACUACAGGAAAUAGGAAGGAUGCCGAGUGUCAUAUGUUUUACCGAGUGCCAAAUUUCAGGCACUCGGCAAAGAGCCUCUUUGCCGAGAGCCAGACACUCUGCAAAGUGCCUCUUUGCCGAGUGCCACACACUCGACAAAAAGGUUGGCACUCGAUAAAGAGGCUUUUUUGCCUCUAAACUUUCUCUACUGCCUUUACACUUUAUUUUGAAGUGUAUGUUCAAAUCUGGCACAGUUCUUGAUAUAUUUUCUAUAUGUUUUUAAUUUAUUUCAUUUAAACAUAUUUUCUGAAAAUACAAUAUCGAACUACAGGUGCAUCGAAGCAUUGAAUUCAAUGAUUGGAAAAAUGAUAUUCAUGAUGCUUAUUGUAGUUUGAGGUCAUUUCCAGGAGCACAUCCAAAAUUUCUAAUAACUUUUAUACGAAACAUGGCCAAAGUUGCCGGAGAAAUGCAUUUUAAUUAUAUAAAUUACAAAUGAAGACUGAAAAUCUUAAAACCUGGUGACACGUCUUAACAUCACAUGUGGAUGCUAUGAUAAAAAUUUGAGAUGUUUUGCAAAAGUUGUCAUGUACGUUAGUUAUAAACCUACACCUCUCACAUGUGAUCACGUGUGAGAUGAAGUGAGAGGUGUAGGUUUAUAACUAUUGUACGUGACAACUUUCACGAAAUAUUCCCAAAUUUUUAUCAUAGCCUCCUCAUGUGAUGUCAAGACAUAUUGCCAGGUUUCAUGCUUUUUCAGACUUCAUUUGCAUUUUAUAUAAUUAAAAUGUUUUUCUCCCAUAUGUUUGUCGCCAUAUUUCGUGUAUAACACUUUCGAAAUUUCAGGCUUGCUCUUAGAAACAGCCUCAAACUACAAUACGUAUCGUGAAUAUCAUUUUUCUAAUCAUUAGAUUCUAUGAUUUGAUGCACCUAUAGUUAAAACUUUCAUUUUCCGUAAAAAUAUGUUUAAAUGAAAUAAAUUAAAUAUAUAUAUCAAAUAUGUCGAGAAAUAUGCCAAAGUUUAACAUGUAUGUCAAAAUAAUGUGUAAAAAAAAGAAAAUACUUUGGAUGCCAAAAACAAAAAAUUAUAAUUUUUGCCGAGUACCUUAAUGUGGCAAGCUGCAAAGAAAAUAUAGAAAAAAAAUAAAACACCUUUGUCGACUGCCUGUAGUGUGCACGCGGCAAAGAGUAUUUUUUUAAAAAAAUUUAAAAAUAAAAAUAGCCUUUGCCGAGUGCUGGAUCAGUUGCACUCGGCAAAGAAUAUUUUUUAUAAAAAAAUCUUUGCUGAGUGCCCCGACCUGGUUCUCGGCAAAGAGUUUUGGCAUUUUUUUGAAAAUAAUGGAAAAUCAUUUUUUCUAAAAAGGUAUUUUUUUUAUUUAAAAAAAGUGUGCCGAGUGCCUUGAUCGGUAGCACUCAGUAAUUUUUAAAAAAUAAUGGAAAAAUCAUUUUUUAAAAAAAAAAUUGAAAAAACUAUAUAUGUUGAGUGCCCUGAUCAACACAACUAGCGUGGGAAGUUCUUAGCCCUAGAGCUAGAGGGAUCCACUGGGAGGCCUGGAGCCCCAGUGCAUUGGGAGAAGGAAAAAACCACUCAUGGGGAUCGCAGGGGUAGAGCAAUAGCGGAAGGCAUGAAUAAAGGUGAAUUUUCUUGUGUUAAACAAAGUCCAUGCACUCUACGACUACCACCAUGACCAUAACAUACAGGAUAGUAAAUACUAUCGACAUACAUGGAACAAGCACCGGGCUUCCCCUUUGUUUCCAACAUGGCAAAUGGGAAUUGAUCUGCCAAAGGGAAACCUGUCAUUGUCGAUGUCGACUACGAGAUCGGCAGCACCACCAGCAACCAUAACCAGGGAAGCCAUGGAUACUUCAGCAGCUUCUACGAUAGCCACAGUGUGGUAGCCGUGCAGCUGUUGAUAGGCAUGAUGAUGGCUAUAGCGCUCACUUAUUACCAACGAAGUUUGACGAUAACGGCAUGAUCAACACAUCAUCUUUGCAUUUGACGAUAACGCCCACUUAUUACCAGCAUGUAGAUCCGGGAUACUACGAGCCAGUAACCGGCCACGACGGUGGUGGUACUACAACAUCCUUCCCUCUACCUUUCAGUAGAGCCGCCGGUAUCUCUGGUCCUCAACAUCAUGUACGUACCACCGAUAAUCAGCUGUUUGCCGACAUCGAUAGUAGCACCUAGCAUCACUAUGAGCUUGAUCAUAGUGCCAACACCAAGGGCGGCGGCAGUGCAAUCUUCCUCUCUCCUCACCUAGAUGAUGGGAUUGACAUGCACUACGUGCCCCAUCUUGUGCAUGCACCCAACAGCGGGUGUCCACACUCCCUGCUCCCGUGGUCCAUGGAGCAAAUCGACAACUUCAUCUGCAACUCGCUACAAUCUCUCAGCAUCUACGACCGCGGCGACAACCUCCUCGCUCACGGUUCCGCCGCCGGCUGUCAGAGUUUGUGAAUAACCUGCACUAGUAGAAGCAAGAUCUAGUCGGCACUCACGAUAACAACUGGCAGAAUCAUCCUCGGCGUGGUGUCUUGAACAACAACGACGACGUACGUGGGGAGGAGGCUAAAGGACGUGAGGGUGCCAUGAGUAGCGUCGCCACGAACACCCUCGGGUGCCGUUUCCUGGUCCGGAUGGUGGCCAUGGCGGCGCCACCGUGGCGCAGCAGGUGCUCCACGAGGUCACCGUCGAUGUCGUCAGGCUCAUGGUCCACACGCCGACGGCCACAUGCUCAUCCAGGCACUGGUGCAGUAUUUGACUCAUUACAAGAAACAUGAAGGAUGCCGAGUGUCAUAUCCUUUGCCGAGUAACGCACUCGACAAAGAACGACACUCAACAAAGAGCCUCUUCACCGAGUGCCAGACACUCGGCAAAGAGCCUCUUUGCCAAGUGCCACACACUCGGGAAAGGUUGGCACUCGGCAAAGAGGUUUCUUUUGCCUCUAAACUUUUUCUACUGUCUUUACACUUUAUUUUGAGUGUAUGUUCAAAUUUGGCAUAGUUCUCGAUAUAUUUCCUAUAUAUCUUUAAUUUAUUUUAUUUAAACGUAUUUUUUCUGAAAAUACAAUAUCGAACUAUAGGUGCACCGAAUCAUAGAAUUCGAUGAUUGGAAAAAAUAAUAUUUAUGAUACUGAUUGUAGUUUGAGGUCGUUUCUAGGAGGACGUCCAAAAUUUCUAACGUCUUUUAUACAAAACAUGACCACGAAGUUGUGGAAGAAAUGCAUUUUAAUUAUAUAAAUUACAAAUGAAGGCCGAAAAUAUUAAAACCUAGCGACAUGUCUUAACAUCACAUGUGGACGUUAUGAUAAAAAUUUGGGAAAUGUUUCGCAAAACUUGUCAUGUACGUUAGUUAUAAAUCUACACCUCUCACAUGUGAUCGGAUGUGAGAUGAAGUGAGAGCUAAUGUACGUGACAACUUUUACGAAAUGUUCCCAAUUUUUUAUGGUAGCCUUCUCAUGUGAUGUCAAAACGUGUUGCUUUGCAUUUUAUAUAAUUAAAAUGUAUUUCUCCCAUAAGUUUGUUGCCAUGUUUCAUGUAUAGCACUUUCGAAACUCCAGGCUUGCUCUGGGAACCGCCUCAAAAUACAAUACAUAUCGUGAAUAUCAUUUUUGUAAAUGUUAAAUUCUAUGAUUCGAUGCACCUGCAGUUAAAACUUCCAUUUUUCGUAAAAUACGUUUAAAUAAAAUAAAUUAAAGAUAUAUAUCAAAUAUGUCUAGAAAUAUGCUAAAGUUUAACAUGUAUGUCAAAAUAAUGUGUAAAUAGAAAAAAAUAAUUUGGAUGCCCAAAACAAAAAAAAAAUUAAAACUCUGCCGAGUGCCGUAAUGUGGCACUCGGCAAAGAAGAUAUAGAAAAAAAAUAAAACAACUUUGUCGAGUGUCCUGCACUUGGCAAAGAGUAAUUUUUUAUAAAAAAUAAAAAUAGCCUUUGCCGAGUGCUGGAUCAAUUGGCACUCGCCAAAGAAUAAUUUUUUUACAACAAAAAAUCUUUGCGGAGUGCCCUGACCUGGCUCUCAGCAAAGAACUUCGGCAUUUUUUUGAAAAUAAUGAAAAAUGAUUUUGUUAAAAAAUAUUUUUUAUUUGAAAAAAAGUUUGCCGAGUGCCUUAACCUCGCUCUCGGCAAAGAGUUUUGGCAUUUUUUAAAAAAAUAAUGGAAAAUCAUUUCUUUAAAAAAAAAUUUUAUUUGAAAAAAACCUUUGUCGUGUACCCUGAUCAACACAGGUAGCAUGGGGAGUUCCUAGCCCUAGAGCUACAGGGAUCCACUGGGAGGCCCGGAGCCCAGCGCUUUGGGGGAAGUUAAAAAACCGCUCGUGGGGAUCGUAGGGGCAGAUGACGCACAGAGCAAUACGGAAGGCAUGAAUAAAGGUGAAUUUCCUUGUGUUAAACAAAGUCCAUGCACUCUAAAAAUACCACCACGCUCACAUACAUACAGGAUAAUAAAUACGAUCGACAUACAUGGAAUAAGCGCCGGACUUCCCCUCAGUCUCCAACAUGGCAGAUGGGAAUCGAUCUGCCAAAGGAAAAUCCGUCGUCGUCGACGACGACUACGAGAUCGGUAGCAACAACGGCCAUAAGCAGGGAAGCUAUGGAGACUUUAGCAGCUACUACGGCAGCCACAGUGGUAGUCGCGCCGCUGUUGAUAGGCAUGAUGAUGGCUAUAGCGCCCACUUAUUACCAAUGAACUUUGACAACAACGGCAUGAUCAGCACAUCAUCUUUACCUUUGACGAUAGCGCCCACUUAUUACCAGCACGUAGAUCUGGGCUACUACGAGCCAGUAACCAGCCACGACGGUGUGGUACUAUAGCAUCCUUCCCUCUACCUUUCAGCUGCGCUGCUGGUAUCUCUGGUCCUCAGCAUCAUGUACGCACCGCCGAUAAUCAGCUGUUCACCGGCAUCGGCAGCAGCACCCAGCAUCACUAUAAGCUCUAUCAUAGUGUCAACACCAACCGCGGUGGCGGCACAAUCUUCCCCUCACCUCACCUACAUGAUGGGAUUGACAUGCACUACGCGCCCCAUCAUGCGCAUGCACCCAACAACGGGUGUCCACGCUCGCCGCUCCCAUGGUCCAUGGAGCAAAUCGACAGCUUCAACAGCAACUCGCUACGAUCUCUCAGCAUCCGCGAUCGUGGUGACAAUCUCCUCGCUCACGGUGGCCGUCGCGGGCUAUCAGAGUUUUUGAAUAACCUGCAGGAGCCGCAAGAUCUGGUUGGCACUCUCGAUGACGACGGGCAGAAUCAUCCUCAGGUGGCGUCUUGAACAGCAAUGUCGACCAGUUGUACAUGGGGUGGAGGCUAGAGGACGUGAGGGGUGCCAUGAGUAGCGUCGCUAGGAACACCCCCGGGUGCCGUUUCCUGGUACAAAUGGUGGCCGAGGGCGGCGCCGCCAUGGCGCAACAGGUGCUCCACAAGGUCACCGGCGAUGUCGUCAGGCUCAUGGUCGCGAUGUCGUCAGGCUCAUGGUCCACGCUGAUGGCUAGACGCUCAUCGAGGCAUUGGCACAGUACUUGACUCACUACAGAAAACAGGAAGGAUGUCGAGUGUCAUAUGCUUUGCCGAGUGCCAAAUUUUGGGCACUCGGCAAAGAGCCUCUUUGCCGUGUGCCACACUCGGCAAAGAAUGACACUAGGUAAAGAGCCUCUUUGCCGAGUGGUAGACAGACACCCAACAAAUUUUGGCACUCAGCAAAGAGCCUCUUUGCCGAGUGUCAGAAACUUGGCAAAGGUUGCUACUCGGCAAAGAUGUUUUUUUUUGCCUCUAAACUUUUUCUACUGUCUUUACAGUUGAUGUUGAAGUGUAUGUUCAAAUUUGACACUGUUCUCGAUAUAUUUAUUAUAUAUCUUUAAUUUAUUUCAUUUAAAUGUAUUUUUCCAAAAAUACAAUAUCGAACUACAGGUGCAUCGAAUAAUAGAAUUUGAUGAUUGGAAAAAUAAUAUUCAUGAUACUUGGUCGUUUCAAGGAGCACAUCCAAAAUUUCAAACAUCUUAUACACGAAACAUGGCCAUAAAGAUGUGGGAGAAAUAUAUUUUAAUUAUAUAAAUUACAAAUGAAGGCCGAAAAUAUUAAAACCUGGCGACAUGUCUUUUACAUCACAUGUGGCACCUCUCACAUGUGAUCACAUUUGAGAUGAAGUGACACGUGUAGGUUUAUAACUAUCGUAUAUGACAACUUUCACGAAAUGUUCCCAAAUUUUUAUCAUAGCCUCCUCAUGUGAUGUCAAGACAUGUUGCCAGGUUUUAUGUUUUUCAGACUUAAUUUAAUAUUUUUCUUCCAUAAGUUUGUCGCCUUGUUUCGUGUAUAACACUUUCGAAAUUUUGGGCUUGCUCUUGGAAACGGCCUCAAAACUAUAAUAUGUAUCGAGAAUAUCAUUUUUGUAAUCAUCAAAUUUUAUGAUUUAUACAAAAAUAAUCUAAUUAUACUAAUUUUGUUUUAACAAUAUUAAUAUAUUUUUAUACAGAAAAGUCAAAAUUAUACUAAUUUUACUAGUUGUAGCAGUUGGUACUAAAAUAAUAGUUGUUGUUAGUUGUUGUAGUAGUAGUAGUAGAAGUAAUAGUAGUAGCCGUAGCGACAUGGUGGUAGUAGUAGUACUACUGGUAGUAGUACUCAAUACUAGUAUUAGUGAUUAGUAUAGUAUUACUGAUUAGUAGUGAGUAUUGAUUAGUAGUGAUUAGUAGUGGUGCUGGUGGUAGUAGCACUAGUAGUAGUAUAGUGAGUAUAGUGGUGGUGGUGGUACUAGUACUAGCACUAGUAGUAGUGAUUAGUAGUAGUGACUACUACUAUACUAAUAGUAAUAGUGUUAUUAGUAGUGAGUAGUGAUUAGUAGUAGUAGUAGAUUAUAGUAGUGAGUAGUGAUUAGUAAUGGUAUACUAUGUAGUAGUGAUAGUAGCGAUUAAUAGAACAUGGAUCUCCAUCUAGUAGUAGCGAUUAGUAGUACUCUCCAUCUAGUAGUAGUGAUUAGUAGUAGUAGUAACUAUACUACUACUACUACUACUAGUAGUACUGUUAUUAGUAGUGAUUAGUGAUUAGUAGUAUUAGUAGAUUAGUAGUGAGUAGUAGAUUAGUAGUGGUAUAGUACUCCCUCGGUCCCUGAAAGCUUUAAUUCCUAGAGCAAAAAUUUGUCCACUAAAAAAUCAAUUCCUAGAGAUUUGACCAUCUAUCAACUCGUUUAAUAGUCCUCGUAUUCCCCCAUCCUAAUUACUACCGCAUCCCUCCACCAAUCAGUUGCCCGAGCUGCACCCGUAUGAGUAGGAGUAGUAAAUGAUAGGAGCUGGAUGAGUAAUUAAUGAUAGACCUGUUGCAACGAUUACUGUGCAAUUUAAUGGUAGAACUCAAAUUAAUUAAGGGUAAUAUGGUCAUUUGGUAGCUAUGCUAAUCUGUCUGAAACUUGCUAGAAAUUGAAGCUUUUAGAGACAGAGGGAGUAUGACUAUAUAUGAAGGCCCUUUGCGCUCUUGCUUCCUAUGGCCACCAUCACUUAAGGCCCUUCAUGCGAAUGCAACUUUGCUCUUCACUAUGUGAUUUUGUGAUUUCAAGGGGUACACUACAGAUAAAAUCAAAUACCAUAACAGAGGGCAUUAUACUGACUGAUCAUUAAUAAGUAACAGUAAAUUAUUGUAUAUAAUAAAAGGGCAUCACAAAAGGGAUAUACCUUUCGUGCAAUUAAUUUGGGAGAAACACUAAAGAAUGGAAUGUUUCCUAGUCAUAUUGUGAAGGGAUACUAAACUUUUAGACUUUCAAAAGAGUUGCAUCUGUUAAUCUCCAAGAUGGCAGAACAUGUAUCUGUUGGGAGGAUCUUUGGUCUAACAUAAUUUCAUGUCUGGUUUCCCAGAGUUUUUUUUCUUUGCAAAGGAUAAAAACAUUGUUUUUUAAGUCAUAAAUGAAACUUCACCGAUUUACAGGAUCUUCCAUUUGCCUGUCAACCCAACCUUAUGAUCUCACUACAGCUGUUAGAGCAAGACUUGUAAGAUACUUUCAUGACAUGAUAAUUAAUAUUAGAGUUACAUUUGGGGUCUCAAUCUUUACAAAUCCACAAAAACUUGGUUCAUUAUAACAUUCAUAUACAGAAGGAUUUGGACAACCUCAUGUCAGUCUAAGCACAAAGGCUCUGCUUGCUGCAGCUAUUGCUGUGGCUCGUGGCUACUGUAGCACAUGUUGUGCAGUUGCAGCUGUACAGCUCAGCCGAUCGGACUGAAAGUUUUUUUUUUGGCUCUUACUUGAAGAUAGAUUGUGUACGAGAGGGCUUCUGAAGAGGAAAAUAUUGACCUGCCUUCAUAUGACUCUGUUAUUUGCUCCACUGCCAUAUAUACAAGAAUCACUUGAACAUUUGUACCUGAAUUUCAAUUUUGCAUCACUUGCUGAACUCUUUUCAAUCUGACACUUCUUCCACAAGCGGCUCCAUUGGAUGCUUUUAAAUGUUUCAGGCAUCAGUUGGAUAUUUUUAGCCGUUUAUAUGGAAGUAUAUGUUUAGGACAACAACAUGAUCUUCAAAAUACAACUUUGACCCCUUAUUUUCAUAAUGGUAUAUGCAUACUUUCAUGAAAGUAUUUUCCAAGGCAAAUCUAUUCAAAUAAUUUUCACAUUUGCAAACUCAACAAUUUAAAAGUUAUUUAUGAUUUAUAUUCCUAAUGUUUGGCCCAAAUCUUGUCCAAAACGACUUCUAAAUCCUAUAUGGAGGGAGUUCACAUGCUCUUCAGACAUAAUCCACUACCCUUUCAUCGGUCGGGUCCAGACAAAAAGCGUAGGUUUUGAUAGAUAAGACAACAAUAGAGAGUAUAAUUAUUUUUUGUUGCGUAAAAUAGAGAGUAUAAUUUUGAAACAUGGAAAUGUUAAUUUCUAGGGAAUUACGGCACCCUUACAUUCAUUGUCCAAAACAGUAAAUAACCAUGCUCAGUUAAAACAAAUGAGGCACAUCGAGGCAUUUUUACUCUACUUUUAAUGAACACGUGUGGUCCACCUUUAAUCGUUUCUAAACAAAAGUUUCAAGUAGGACAACAUAGGAGUAAUGCUCUCUGUAAGGGCGUCGAUACAAUACAUGUCUUGACUACAAGUAUAGUACUCUGCCAAUCCUUUUAUGCUGUAGGACUUUAAUAAUAAUGGGAAGGAUUGAUGAAUUAUUUACAUGCAGUUGCUCAAUGGUUUGAUGUGUCCAGUGAACUUGUGAGAAAGACUAUAUACAGUGAACGGCUAUAAGAGGCAGCGGAUGGCACGAGAGAUGUGGCCAUAUAUGGAGAGGUUUGGCGUGCUCUAUAGCUAUGAUUUGGUGUGUUUCAGUAGCUAUUUUUUGGUGAGCAAAAUCUUACAAUUGCUCUGCAUUUCCAGUGUCAUAGGUGAUGCCUUGUUUGACUAGGCAUGGGUGGUGUCGGAAAUUUAAGGACCUCUUGUCACCUCGAUAGGCCAAGAUAUGAUGCCAGCCCAGAAUCAUAUCACUCGAUUAGUUCGUCACAAAUCCAGCUCUGUGGUGUCAUUACCGGUUGUUUUGUUGUCUGGCACCACUUUUCAUUGGUAGUCUUCUCAACCUGGAGUUCGAGCAGAGAAGUUGGUGGGAUUUAGUGGAGGAGAACAGUAGCGACAAAGGAUUAUUUGUUUAAAUUUAACUUCUCUCUGUUACAACCUCAUGUUGUCCAUCAGUAGUGUGCCAGCUAGCAUACUAGUUCAUCACCCAACUUAUGAACACUCCAUGGGCCGGGAUUAGCCAACUCCGGCACACAAUGCUGUGGGCUCCGAUCAAUUACUCCGAUCCGCGUAUCCACUGGUGGUGUCACACAGACGAGUUAGCUCCUACAUAUAGUUUUGUGUAUGCUUAAUCGCUCCUAUGCUCUUACGGAUAUUUGAUGGUGCAUGCAGUACUGCAACAUCGACCACCUGUUCAUUGCAUGUCCAUUCUACUGUCUGCAAUCACAAGUCACAUAUGUAAUGCAGUUAUAUGGGGAGGAAAAUUGAAGCAUGUUUGUGCUCCCUAGAUAGAAAACCAAGUUCUUAGUUUGUCAUAUUUCAAAUAAAAUGUAUUUUAUCAUCUCAUGUUAAUCUUUUAUCUAUAUUAUUACAUGGUGUCCCCCUUUACUCCAAAUUAGCAUUGAAUUAAAAAAAUAUAGAAGCUUGCCCGACAGCCGAGAUGCCCAUAUUUUGUUGCAUAACAAUGUCUGCGGCAGACACUACAAUGUGACGAAUAAAAAGAGUUCCCUAUGCAUUAAGAUCCUUCUUUGGAAUUAAUAGCUAAAACAACAAUAGAUCUGUACUCACGUAUAAUUUUGAAGCAUUUAAAGCUAGCUUAUAUUAACCUGGGAAUUGGGGAAUAUGACAUGGAAAACCAGCAGGGUCCAUACACUCAUUUUAUUAUCUGAAAUACCAGUAACCAUGGUGAGAUAUGAAAUACCAGUAACCAUUGUGAGAUCGAUAUAAAACGGAAUGUGAGGUAAAGUGUUUUUGAUAUACUUUUAAAGAAACGCACAGGUCCACCUUUAUCAUUUCCAAAUAGAAGUGUUAGGUACGUAGUAGAAUAUAAGAGUAGAAAUGCUUUCCGUAAGACAUCGAUCCAUUUCCUGAUCACUACUGGAUUUAUGUACCGGUUCAUUUGUGCUGUACCAUUUAUGUGACAUACACUACUACAAGUAUUGGUCGAUGUCCAAAAUCGCCAAAAACCUCGGCCAUUUUGCGGUCUGGGGCUAAAAGCCCCUUUAACACCGAUUUGUAACAAGGGCCGGUGCCAAAGGGUCCUUCCCAACGGCUACUGACAGGUGCUGUCGGAGCAGGAACCCUUUAGCACCGGUUUGCGUUACCAACCAGUGCUAAAGGGUCCCCUUUAUCACUGGCCAGUGCCAUGGGCCGAGGCAAACCCUUUAGCACCAGUUGAUAACACGAACCGGUGCUAAAGGGUGACCCUUUAGCACCGAUUUGUGCCCUGAACCGGUGCUAAAGGUCCGGUUUAUAGGCCGGCUACCUAUGCCUGGGAUCAUUUGAAACCGAGAGCACCAUUAUUGUUCUUAGAGCUUCCAUUUUAUUGUUCUUGCUUGUUCUUCCUUUGUUCUUCAUCUCCGACGCCCAUCGUUGAUCUUCUUCGACUCCAUCAUCGUCUCUUCGUGCUUGGAGGUGACUAACUUCAUCCUUUCUUGUCUUUUUCAUGUUGUUUUUGGCUUGUGAUUUUCGCAUCAUUUUUAGCUCAAAUCCACUUUGUUAUUUUGAAUCAUUCACUUGAAUAUAUAUAUAUAUAUAUAUAUAUAUAUAUAUAUACGGUUGCG
rnacentral:lncRNA from 1 species